UAAGCCACAUGCUGUUUGCAUUCCAUUCCCUUAUCAAAGCCAUAUAAAGGCAAUGCUUAAAUUUGCAAAGCUCCUCAACCACCGAGGUUUUCAUAUAACCUUUGUUAACACAGAGUUCAAUCACAAGCGCUUUCUUAAAUCUCAAGGACCCAAUUCCCUUGUUGGCUUGCCUGAUUUUCAAUUCGAAGCCUUCCCGGAUAGCCUUCCGGAUUCAGAUGAAGAUGCCACACCAGAUGCCACCUUGCUUUGUGAAUCCAUCAGGAAAAAAAAAUUCUUGGCUCCCUUUCAUGCCCUCCUUGCAAAACUCAACAAUGAUGCCAUAUCAACAUCCCACAAUCCUCCUGUGACUUGCAUAGUUUCAGAUGGUUUCAUGUCCGCGUUCACAAUCACAGCUGCUGAAGAAAUCGGAGUCCCUAUAGCGCUGUUCUACACUAUAGCUGCCUGCAGCUUCAUGGGAUUUAAACAACUUCGCGCUGUGGUCGAAAAAGGACUUUUUCCACUCAAAGGUGAAUAACUACGAAUUAAAAGCAAUUGUUGUUUCUAAACAUGCAAAUGAAAUGUUUCUUCAAUUGAAUUUCAUUUGUCUAUUGCAGAUGAGAGCUGUUUCAAAAAUGGCUAUCUGGACACCGUAAUAGAUUGGAUCCCAGGAAUGAGAGAUAUCCGUUUAAGGGAUCUCCCGACCUUCGCGCGAAACACAAAUCUGGAUGACACCGGAUUUAACUUCAUCAUGGAAGAAACCGAAAGAGCUCAUGAAGCUUCAGCAGUUGUUCUUCAUACUUUUCAUGCCUUGGAGACAGAUGUUUUGGAAGCUCUCUCAUCUAUGCUUCCCCAUGUGUACACCGUUGGCCCUCUUCAAUUGCAUCUCAAUCAGAUACCAGAGCACCCUUUGAAAAUGGGAUACAGUCCAUGGAAAGAAGAAACUGAAUGCCUCGAGUGGCUAAACACCAAGGCACCAAACUCAGUUGUCUAUGUGAAUUUCGGCAGUGUAGCAGUCGUGACACCAGAACAGCUUGUGGAGUUUGGGUGGGGACUUGCAAAUAGCAAGCUUCCAUUCUUUUGGGUAAUUAGACCUGAUCUAGUUGUUGGAGAAUCAGCUAUUUUGCCGCCUGAGUUUGUGGCUGAAACUAAGGAAAGAAGUCUAAUAGCUGGGUGGUGCCCACAAGAGCAAGUCCUCAACCACCCCUCAGUUGGAGGAUUUUUAAUGCACAGCGGUUGGAAUUCAACAGUUGAGAGCCUUACUGCAGGAGUUCCUAUGCUCUGUUGGCCAUUCUUCGGGGACCAGCAAAUGGACUGUCGCUAUACUUGCAAUGAAUGGGGAAUUGGCAUGGAGAUUAGUGAUGAUGCGAAGAGGGAAGAGGUAGAGAAGCUUAUCAAAGAGUUAAUGGAGGGAGAGAAGGGUAAGAAGAUGAAAAAUAAGGUCAUGGAGUGGAAGAAACUUGCAGAAGAAGCUACUGGUCCACAUGGUUCUUCAUCCACAAACUUAGACAAUUUAGUGAAUCAACUGCUAUUGAGAAAAAGUUAAGAUGUUUCCAUAAGAAUAUUGAUGUUAUUAAUUAUCAUUUCCAUUGCCAUUGUCUCAAAUAAUCAACUAUCUGGCAAUAUAUAUGUACUACUGGUCUGUAACCAUGAUGCGUACUAUAUCUAGAAUUUUAUUCUAAUUAAGGUUUUACUACGCUUCAGGCCUUCAACUCUAAAGUCUUUAUCAUUUUUCAGGCAAUUGUGCACUAACCAUGAUGCAUUAUAUUAAUAAUAUUUUAAAUCAAUAGAUUAAAAAUAUAAAGCUAUACCUUUUUCCACAAAUACCCCCGAGCUUAACGGGUUAACGGGUAUUCGUGAAUUGACACGACACGACACGAUAGCUUAACGGGUGACUAACGGAUCAAUACGAUAUCAACAUGACACCAUAACCCAUGCCUGAAUACUGAAUUUUUCGUGCGAAUUCAUGUCGUAUUAAUGGAUCGUGCACAAUAUUGUCUCCUCUAAACUUAGAUACUUUAGUCGAUUUAAGAAAAAACUAGAUGUUAUCCAUAACCAUAUCUCUAUUAUCACUGUUGAUAUCUCUAUUAUUACUCCAUAUAGCGUCCUUAUUCGUGUAUGAUGUCAUACGGAGCCUAAUAACAUGUUUUCUUGUUUUGUUCUAAAAAAGUUUUUUGAAAGAAGUAGAGACCAGUAAAUGAAAUUAAAAAAAAUUAAACCUCCAAUAAAUAUGGCCAUGGAAACAUGGUCUAACGCUAAAUAUAAAAUAAAAUAAGGGCAACUAAACUUGCCAUGGCCACAGACAUAGUGGCUUAAUAGUAAGUAAAUAAAAUUAACUUUGGAUAAACUGUGGUGAGGGAGUUGGAAUAGUACACAUUGAAAAGUAUCUCAGUUUUGCUUUAUAAAUAAUCUGCAUUUGCAAGCACUGCAAUGCACACACAAAAUCUCAGAUGGAUUCCACAGAAGUAGCUACUAAGCCACAUGCUGUUUGCAUUCCAUUCCCUGCUCAAAGCCAUAUAAAGGCAAUGCUUAAAUUUGCAAAGCUCCUCCACCAUAGAGGUUUUCAUAUAACCUUUGUUAACACACAGUUCAAUCACAAGCGCUUUCUUAAAACUCUAGGAUCCAAUUCCCUCGAUGGCUUGCCUGAUUUUCAAUUUGAAGCCAUCCCGGAUAGCCUUCCAGAUUCAAAUGAAGACACCACACAAGAUGUCGUUAAAAAAAUAAAGUUAGACCAUUUUCAACAAAGAAAUUAUGUGGAAGUUUCUUUAAAACCUUGUAUAAUUAUGUUGGAGAUAUUGACCUGAUGAUAAAGCAUAAUCUCUCAUUAAUACUUGAAUGCUUAAUCUGAAAGAAAGAAAAGAAAAGAAACAAGAAAACACAGACAAGGUUAAAGAAAAGACAAAAUCCAAAAGCUUACUUUGUUUCCUCGUCUUUCCAAAUCCAAAUCCAAAUCCAAACGCCACUCAAAUCAGUUAGGAAGUUUCUGAUUGUUUAUUUCAUUUCAUACUAGAUACAAAGAUAACAACAGCUUGAGUAAAAAAGAACAAAAUUGAUAUUUUAAAUUAGAUGCUCCAUUUCAAACCAUAGACACUCCUCUAACGUGAGCUUGAUGAUUAGGGACAAAACCACAUGAAUGUUAUUUCACCAUAAUGUUCGUUUUAGUCAUUGUACACAACUCACAACACUUUCACACAAAAAAUUAUUAUUGUACCAACAUCACUUUUAAUAAAAAGUUGUCAAAAGACAAACUGCUUUCUUUCACAACUGAUUUCUCUCACAGCAAAUCUGACUGUAAUUAUUUUCACAUCACAACAAUGCCAAACUAGCUUCGUUUUAGAUCCUUAUUUCUAUUCCUACUUGGUUUAGGAUUCCUAUUUUAAUCUUAUUUCCUACCCACUAUAAAUAAGGCUUUUAGGAAGUCACAUUAUUAUUUGUGGCUAGAGAGUGUCUAUGAGUGUGGUUACGAACCAAAUUACAAGUGAGUGUGAGGAAUUGGUAACAAUUCACUAUAGAAAUACAAGAGAAAAAAUAAUUUCAAACACUCCGAAGUUUUCUUUCUACUAACUAGCCAGGUGAUGUUGAGGGAUUAAGCCUUCUUCAAUUAUACACCAAGCGAGAAGAACCAUUCACUACUACAAAAAAGCAAAAAGACGACGGUAAAUUACCGUCGUGUAUUCGGUUUUUCAAUGGUCGUGGAAUCCACCGUCAUCUUUUUCCUCAUAAACCACGACGCUAAAUCACCGUCGUUGUUAAAAUAUACAACGUCAUCAUCAAAUACAAAACGACGUCUUUGUACUGCAAAAAGAUCUAAAAAAGCAGUCGAGGAUGAGAAUAGACGACCAACUUUCUAAAAAAACCGUCGUUAAAAAGGAAAAAUAUGACACAUAUUAACAGAACAAGGCCGCAAGAUAGACAUACAACGACGAAAAUUAAAAUAAGACGCCGUUAAAUAUCAUUUUCACGACAAUAAAAAAUAUGACGUCUUUAAAUACAUUAGAAGACGACGUUAUUGAUACCUACUACGUCGCCUAUAUAAAAACAGCCGUCCUAAAAUAAAUUUUCCACUUCGAUUUUUCUAUAAAAGAUGACGUGGAAAUAUUUGUCAGUGUCAUUAUUUACGACGUAUGUAUUUAUAGAGUAGACGUUGAACAACGAAACAACGUCGGUUACAAAUAUAUGAGAGUCGUAUUACAAAAUUUAUACGUCCUAUUUUCAGAAACAAACAACGACGAUAAAUAUUAGACGUUGUUAAAUAAAACAACGUAGAAAACAAAUAAAAACAGACGUGUUUAGUCUGCUAAAGUUCUAAAAAAUAGUCGAGGAUGAGAAUAGACGACCAACUCAAACAAAUCACCGUCGUUAAAAAGGAAAAAUAUGACACAUAUUAAAAGAACAAGGCCGCAAGAUAGACAUACAACGACGACAACUAAAACACUACGCCGUUAAAUAUAAUUUUCACGACAAGAAAAAAUAUGACGUCUUUAAAUACAUGAGAAGACGACGUUAUUGAUAUCUACUACGUCUCUUAUUUACAAACAACCGUCGUGAAAUAAAUUUUCCACUUCGAUUUUUCUAAAAAAGAUGACGUGGAAAUAGUUGUCAGUGUCAUUAUUUACGACGUAUGUAUUUAUAUAGUUGACGUUGAAAUGCGAAACAACGUCGGUGGCAUUUAUUUACGACGUAUGUAUUUAUAUAGUUGACGUUGAAAUGCGAAACAACGUCAACUAUAUAGUCGACGUUGUAUUUAUAUGUAUUCAUUACUCACAACGCACUUAUUAAUAUAGACGACGUUGAACUUCUAAACAACGUCGGUUCUAAAUAAAUGAGAGCCGUAUUACAGAACAUAUAGACGGCGUUGAUUAUGAUGAGAGCCGUAUUACAAAUAACGUCGUUUAAUUGAUAUUAGACGGCGGUUAUAAUGAAUUACCGUCGGAAUUCAUUUCGUUCCUCUUCGUUUAUAAAAGAACUUGCGACGUGGAAAAUGUAUGAUGACGUCGUAUUUUUUAACGUUCAGAUUAUAUAUCUCGUUUUUUAGACGUCGGUAUUAUGGGAUUGGAGUCGUGUUAUUUUGAAUUACAUGGCGGUUCUUAAUCCUUCCCCGACGUGAUAUCCUGAAUAAUUGCUUCACAAUAGCGUCGUGGUUCUUCAUUGUUACGUUGCUUUAAGACGUCGGUAAAUAUGCUGAAUAACUGGUUCACAAUAACGUCGUGUUUUAUUUGAACAGACGUCGUUUUUUAUGCAGAAUAUAAUGAUGUAAUCUGGAACCAGUAUUUUUUGCACUGAUUGUUUUGUGGCCAAAACCUGUAUAAUGAAAGUGAAGAAAUCACAUUACAAUAUAUUACAAAAUUAAUGUCAUACACUGCCAAUUACAUAAGCAUCAUUCAAUCCAUAUAUCUUCACACCCAUCUCGAAUAUUUUGACCACCUAACUCACCCACCAGUUCAUCAAAUGUGUCAACAUUUGGCAUCCCUCUAGUAAAUGGCUCACACUCAAUUAUGACAUCACCUAAGACUUCAACACCAAUAACAUCAUUAUAUUCUCUAUUAGGCAUUGAUAACACUACCGACCAACCACGAUGCAUCGGGUCGUCAACAAAAAAUAUUUGUUUGACUUGAGAAGCCAAAACAAAUUGGUCAUUCCUAUGUCCAAUUUUACUCAAAUCUACAAGGGUAAAUCCAAGUUCGUCGACUACAAGACCAGAACUAUCUAUCCAAUCACACCUAAAGACUGGGAUUGUAAACUUUUGGUAGUCAAGGUCCCAAAUUUCUUGAAUGACACCAUAGAAACCCAUAUUUGAGAGAAUUGGGUUUUUAUCCUUGACACUAGCAACUUGCAUGGUAUGUGCAAGUAAAUAAACUCCACUAUUUUGAGUUGUCCGCACAUCAUCUUGUGCCUUGAUAUUGAAUUUAAUACCUUUAAUAAGAUAGCUCCUAUAUAAUGGCACUGCCAUGUUUGGACUAGCUGCUAGCCACCUUAAAUUUUCUGAUACGCCAUGAUUGUCUUCCUCAAGUUCACUUUGAACCUGCAAAUUAAUCAUAUCUUAAUUCAAUCUAACAUAGAAAUAAGAAGAAAAUUAAAAGAGAAAUAUGUUAUUCAACAACAUAUACCUUGAAGCGUAGCCAUUGAAUGAAAGUGCUAUUGUGCUUAUCCUGCAGCCACUUUGUUCUCUUUCUAAAUUUUGGAUAAGCAGUUUUGAUGUGGAUCAUAUGUUGCCUACAUGACACGAAAAAUUCAAGCAUUACGGUCCCAAAUAUAUAAGAUAAACAUAAGAAAUAAUUUAAAAUGGAAACUUAAAGAAUAAAACUCAUACGUACUCGAUAUAAGGUAGGACUUCCUCUGUAUUCUCCAAGACAUAUAGAUGUGCUUGAUUCAACAGGUCCUGAUCAACUACGCUCAUUGUGCAACCUGAUAAUGGCUUUGAAACUCCCAUCUUUUGGCUUGAAAGCAUUCCAACUGUACUAACAUCAGAUAAAUGCUGAGUACAAAACUCUACCGCUUCUUCAGCUAUAUACCGCUCAGCAAUGCAACCUUCGGGACGAGUACGAUUCUGAACAUAUCCCUUCAGCACUUUCAUAUAUCUUUCAAACGGAUACAUCCACCUAAAAUAUACUGGCCCACAUAGACGAACUUCUCUGACAAGAUGUACUACUAGAUGAACCAUGAUAUCAAAGAAUGAAGGGGGAAAGUACUUCUCAAGCAAACACAGAGUAACUACUACAUCUUCUUCCAACUUAUCUAGCUUGGAAACAUCAACAGUCUUUGCACAUAUAGCAUUGAAGAAGAAGCACAAACGAGUUAUUGCAUACCUUGCAGGCUUCUCCAAAACAGAAUGAAUUGCCACAGGGAGCAAUUGUUGCAUUAAGGUAUGACAAUCAUGUGAUUUAAGGCCAAGAAGUCUUGAAUCUUGUAAAGAUACAAGAUUUUUAAUAUUUGAAGAAUAACCUUCAGGGACCUUCAUACCAUAGAAAGAAUUGCAAACCUCUCUCUUCUCUGCUCUUGACAAAUUCCAAGGCCCAGGAGGCAAACGAGUACGUCUUUCUCCAUACUCGGGUUGCAAAUCAGUUUUGACCCCCAUGUUCAAUAAAUCUAAUCGAGCAGCAAUCCCAUCUUUAUUUUUUCCAGGGAUCUCCAGCAAUGUACCAAUGAUACUAUCGCAAACAUUCUUCUCAAUGUGCAUAACAUCUAGGGCAUGCCUCACAGGAAGGUAUUUCCAAUACUCGAGAUCAAAGAAUAUUGAUUUCUUCUUCCAACAAACUCUGUCACCAUUUUCAACCAUAUGCAGCACUUCUUCUCCGGUUAAUGGCUCGGGAGGUAUGCCAUAUUCAGGUUUCCCAUUAAAAGCUGCACGUUGCCUCCUAUAUGGAUGAUUGAUUGGUAACCAUUUUCUAUGCCCAAUGUAACAAAUUUUGUGGCCAUUUUUCAACCUGUGACUAGGUGUAUCAUCGCUGCAUAUUGGACAAGCUUUAUAUCCUUUAACAACACAACCAGAUAAGUUUUCAUAUGCGGGGAAAUCAUUAAUUGUCCACAUUAAUGCAGCUCUGAGUGUAAAGUAUUCUCCAUUAUGUGCAUCAUACACUCCUCUAAUCCCAUCCCACAAAGAUUUUAAAUCAUCAAUCAAAGGCUCCAAGUAGACGUCUAUAUCAUUUCCGGGUUGUUUAGGACCGGAAAUCAAUAAGGUUAACAUCAUGAACUUUCGUUUCAUGCACAGCCAUGGAGGGAGAUUAUAUGUAACUAAGAUAACCGGCCAACAACUAUAUCUGCUACUUAGAGAACUGUGUGGAUUGAAUCCAUCAGAUGAAAGAGCCAAUCUCAAGUUUCUCGGCUCAUUACCAAACUCAGGCCAUUUAUCAUCAAGAAGUUUCCAAGACGGGGAAUCCGCCGGAUGAGACAUCUGACCGUCAAUUGAUUUUCUAGCAGCAUGCCAAGUCAAACUCUUAGCUGUCUCAUGUGAUUGAAACAUCCUUUUAAACCUUGGAAUUGGAGGAAAAUACCACACCACCUUCGCUGGCACACCCUCUUUCAAGAUUGAAUCUUUGCCUUCCUUCCACCUUGAGAUACCACAAGUAGGACAAUUAGUUGAAUCCUCAUACUCCUUCCUAUACAAGAUGCAAUCAUUGGGGCAUGCGUGCAUUUUCUCAUAACUCAGCCCCAAUGCACACAAAGUCUUUUUAGCCUCAUACAUAGAGGUUGGUAUUGUAUUUCCUUCUGGAAGCAAAUCGCCUUGAAGUAUCAAUAAUUUUGUAAAACAGACAUCACUCAUCCCAUGUUUUUCCUUCAAAUUAUACAACUUCACUAAUGCCGAUAACUUCGUGUACUUUCUACAACCAGGGUACACUGGUUGAUCUCCAUCCCCAAUCACAUUGGCAAACUCAUACGGAUCGGAACCAAAAUCACCAAAAUCAUUGUCAUCCAUAUCAAUUUCUUCAGACACAAAACUGUACCUACUAUGGCCAUCAUCUUCUUCAACAUUUCUACUAGCAUUAGUAGUUGCUUCCCAAGGUUCUCCGUGAAAUGUCCAAUUCUUAUAGCUUUGGUCAAUUCCAUUAAAGUAUACGUGAUCCCUUAUAAUUCCAACCCCAAACAACUUCAAAUUAACACAUUUAACACAUGGACAACGGAUAUGUGUUGUAGUUAGAAGAUUUUCUACAGCAAAGUUCAAAAAUGCUUCCACCCCCAAACUCAUAUGCCUUCGAUCUUCUAUCCGAGUGCAUCCAUGACUUAUCUAUCUCCGACACUAUAACCUAUUAUCUAUAAUAAAGUGAAAAUACAGGCAAUGACCAUCACUAUAGCAGAUUAUACAAAGAUCUAAUAGCAAGUAAUACACAAAAGAGACGACGGGUUUUAAACAAAAACAGACGUAUUUGGCAUAUAUAGACGACGGAUUUUCAACAGACGUCGUCUAAUAUAAGUAAUACAAACGACGGUUUAUGAAAAAACCGUCGUGUAUAAGUAAUACAACGACGGUUUUUUCAUAAACCGUCGUGUAAUGAUCGUCGUAUGCCUAAAAAGGCGUCGUGUCUCAGUUUAUUUUCAAGAACCCAAAACCCAUUAAGAACACAACAUAUAUAUGAAACCAAGCAAGAAACCAACAUAUACAUGAAACCAAGCAUGAAAACAAUAAAUCCAUUCCCAAUUCAACAUAACAUAGGGUGAUUAAAAGAUCCGACAAAAUUAAAUCCAUUCCCAAUUCAACAUAACAGAUAAUGUAAUCCAUGAACCCAUUAAAGAGAAAAUCCAUGAACCCAUACCUAUAAGCACAUUAUUAACAGAUCACAAAGCAUAUACCUAAAACCCUUUAACAAAACAACCUAAUAUCAUUCAAUGAAUUUACAAGGGGAAGAUAGGGUUUGUACUUACAGGUUGGACGAGCUCACAGAUUCGACGGAGCCUGGAGAGUGCAACUUUUAAUUAGAGCAGAAGUGAGAGAGCGAAAUGUUAUGUUGCGCGAAAUCUGAAAAUUUUAGGGUUCAGGGUUAGAAGUAUAAGAAUAAGAGCCAAAUCUAAAAAAUUUAGGUGGCGCGAAAUUUUUUAGAGAGCGCGCUCUUUAAAACGUCGAAAGAAAAACCAUGGCGAAAGUUCUACAAGAACCGACGUAAAUGUAAUAUUCCACGACGGAAACACUGAACGUAACGCCAUUUAUUUUGACGCUUCAUUUUUCGGAUUAAUUUUAAAUUUAUUUUGAAUAUUUUGAUAUAAAGACAACUGAAAAACCACGUCGGGGUUAAGAAAUUUAAGACGUUGUAAAUUAUAAUAGACGACUUACAUAUUAAAAUGACGUCGUUUAAAGUAUAAACCAUGUCGGAUAUUUUACUGCACGACGUAACAUAUGUAUUCCACGACUCAACUACCGUCGUUAAAAAUUAAUACCCUAAACCCUUAAAACUAAAUUACAUAAUUUAAAAAUUUAAGUUUAUAAAAGGGUUUAUGGUUUUACAGCCUAAUAUAUACCCUAUACUACCCAAAAAUUAUACUUUAAAAAUAAACCCCAAUAAAUAACAACCCUAAUCUCUAAACCCUAGACUCUAAACCCUAAACCAUAAAACUAGAAGUGAUUUUAUGACUCAUCAAAACAAUUUUGUUUUGGAUGGUCAUUUUAAAUUUUUGUUAUUCAAAAUGAAUUUUUUCAAGGUUUAGGGGGAAGAAAAUAUAUCAAAGACUUCAUAGGAGUUGACUUUGCAUUUUUCUGAUUUAUUUUAAAUUUAUUUUGAAUAUUUUGAUAUAAAAAUAAUAAAAUAUUCUUAUCACAACAACAAACCACGUCGGUGUUAAUAAAUUGUAGACGUUGUAAAUUGUAAUAGACGACUAAGUUGUUAAAAUGACGUCGUUUAAAUGAGAAACCAUGGCGGAUAUUUAACUAUCCGACGUAAAAUAUAUAUUCCACGACUUAACCGCUGUCGUUGCAAAGUACUACCCUGAACCCUUAAGAAAUUGAAGACGUUGUAAACCAUAAACGACUCAAUUGUUCAAAGAACGUCGUCUAAAUAUCCUUUUACGUCGGAUUUGUUUAAAACGAAACAACAAAAAACGACGGUUUUUGACUUUAUUAGGUCGUUGGAAAAGUAUUACACGUCGGUUACGCAAUUUGUAUGUUUGUUUUUUUUUUUAAUUUAAGAAAACCUCAACAAAUUUUUACAUUAUAUAUUAUAGACAAAAUUUGUACAUUAUACAUAAAUAUCAAGUGUUCAAUAAUUCCCCUAUUCCAGGUGAAGGCAAACAAACUCUGCCCAUUCAUUCCGGACUUCAUCAAUUGCUUCUUGGGGGUAUGGCGCUUCCUGUUUUCCCUUGGCAUACUGCAUAAACAAUGACUAUUAGGGUUUAUAAAUAAAAAGAAAUUCAAUCACAGACGACGAUAUUUUUCAUAACCGACGUAGUAUAUCUAUUCAACGACGGUAAUUUUACAUGACCGUCGUUGAUAAUACAAAAAAUGACGUAAAAUGUAUGAAGGUAAUUUCUUCUUACCUUCUUCUCAAACACCAAGGAAGGAUCCAUGAUGAUGUCCCUCAUGAAGCGCAUCACAUAAUACCCGCAUUCGACACUGCUGGGUUGCUUUGGUGUGCCUGACAGAGUUUUUCAAAUUACUGCUUUACGGCCUGAUCUGGCUAUGUGAGAAUUAUAUAUUUUUAUAGCACUGUUCACGAUGUUUUUGGCCUCUUCAUCGACCACACGAUUUCCGGGCAGAGGAUCCAGAAAAUAGACGAUUUCCCUCUUUGCUCUCACAAUCAGCAAGAUCCAAUGACGGCUGCACAAAAUUAAUAUAAAAACGACGGUUAUUUACAAAAACGACGUAUUAUAAUAUUUCACACGACGAAAUAAAGUAGCAAUCGACGGCAUUAUAUAUUUAUCAUGACGAUAAAUAACUACCGACGUGGUUAGUAGUUUCAAACGACUCAAUAAAAUAAAACACCGACGUGGUUAGUUUAUACGCUGUCAUUUAUUGAAAAUCAUAAAAACAAAAUCCUGUUAAGGAGACUAACCCUGGAUUGUAAGGCAUCAUGAAAAUCUGUUCACCAUCAGUCCUCUGAAGUCGAGCUGCUACCGGUCGUGAUCUGUCAGCUAUUGUCCCAGAGUUGGCACUAACUGUAGCAGGGUUGAUAAAGCCAACCAUGCUGCACAUAUUUGCUUGUUUCAAAAGAUCGUGUAAGUACCUAAAUAUAUAAAAUAAUAUAAACAAGUCAGCACAAAAAAAACACACGACGGUUAUGUAUAACAAAACGACGUAUUAUAAAAUUUCACACGACGUACUGAAAUAGACAACAACGUUAUAAUAUAUUUAUCACGACGGUACAUACUAACGACGUGGUUAGUUAGUUAAGACGACGCAAUAAAUAAACCAACGACGUAUUAUUUUAGAAUGACAAACCUCAUAUAUACAGCAAUGACAGUGGCUCCUAUUUCUUCCAUGCCUGCAAAUUGUGUAAUAUCUUCAGGCAGGAGGAAGGUAUCGCGUUCUAGACCAAACACCUUCUUAUCAAUUGUAAAGUUCAGGGUCUUAUCCUGAGGCACGAGUGUCGUUUUCACAUAACGACAAAGGGAUUUGAAAGAAGAUGGCGCCUCCAUAUUUGAAUAAUCAACAACUUUAAUAACCUGUUCAAAGAAAUAAAAAAAAUGACGUGGUAAUUCAAUAAAAACGACGGUUUAAGGAAUAAAACGUCGUCUGAAAAGAAUUUAAACGACGGUGAAAAAACCGUCGUGGUGAAUAAUUUAUUACGUCUUAGAAAAAAAUUCGCCGUCUAAGUUGUAAACAAACGACGGUUUAAAGAAAAAUAUCGAUGUCUGAAAUUUUGAAAAACAAAUAAAAAAGGCAAAGUUAUGUGAACAUACCUGGUCGUCAUGCUUUUCUUCAUCUUCUUUCUCCUUUUCAUCUUGUUUUUCUUCUUUCUUCUCUUCAUCUUUUUUUUCUUCUUCCUUCUCUUCAUCUUUUUUUUCUUCAUUCUUCUCUUCAUCUUGAUUUCCUUCAUUUUUCGGUUUUUAGUAAUAAAGAAUGUAGAGAAAUUAAAAAAAUUAAAUUCAAACGUCGUGGUAAGACAAAACACAAGAUAGUAUGGACGUCUUAAAUUAUUAAACGAUGGUAAAUAGUAAACGUCGUGGGAUUUAUAUAUUACGUCGGGAAUGACUAACACCGUCGUCUAAAAACCACAAAGUUUUAAAAAUAACGACGUUUAAUGGCGUGUAAAACAAGUAAACUAAAUACGACGUGGUAUUGAAAUACAAACGACGGUUUAUUUUUAAAAUCGUCGUGGUAUGUAUUUCAAACGACGGUUUUAUUAAUAAUAACGACGUCUAAUAGUUUUUUAAAAAACAGAGAAUUCAAAGUUCAAAUAUGUUACCUUUUCUUCCUGAUGUUUCCCAUUUUUGGCAGUAUCAUCCUCAAAAUGUAGGGAUCUCACAUCACCUCCAGAGCAGCUUGCUUUGUCAGACAUUGGAUUUCUGAGACUUUGGCUAAUUCUUGGUUUAAGCAUGCUUGGAUCAAAAUUGGGAAUUAAUUGGGAAAGCUGACUCAGGAAAUGCUCCCUCUCAGCCUCUACCAAUUGUUUGGUUCUAGCCUCCAUCCUUAAAGCCUCUUCCCUUGCCUUAGCUUCCAUCUUUUUAUUCUCUUCUUGAAGGAGAACUCUUAAACUGUCCUUUAAACGGUCGUCAAAGCUCAUCCUCUGUGGUUUGGGUAAAUUGAAAUAUUGCCUUGGGGAAAUCCCAGCACCUACACCUCUCACUCUGCCUGGAUGCUCGGGGUCCAAAGCCAUGGUCAGCACAUCAUUGCUGCCAGAUACACUGACUUUGCCUUCCGAGACUUGUUUUUGCAAUUCAUCCUAAAACAAAGAUAUAUAAAAAAGUAAGAACAAAAAACACACGACGGUUAUUUAUAUACAAACGACGUAUUAUAUAAUUUCACACGACGCAAUAACAUAUAAAUCGACGUUAUUAUAAUUUAUCACAACGGUAGUUAUACCGACGUGGUUAGUUUUUUAAAACGACGAAAUGAAUAAACCACCGACGUCUUAUGCUUUAUUUACAGAUAACAGAGGGAUGAUUCAAUAUUCACACCUUUAACGACCUUGUUUAACACAUUUCGACGUAGUAAUUUAAUACAAACGACGCGAAAAUGAACCACCGACAUCUUAUGCUAUAAUUACAGAAAACAGAGUAGUGAUUCCUGAUUUAGACCUUUAACGACGUUUUUAAAAAAAUGUCGACGUGGUAAUAUCAUUCACACGACGCAAAAUAUAACAUAAGACGUGAUAAGAAUUAUUCACAGUUUAAUAAAAAUUUAAAACAGAGUGAGUAGGCUUACAAUUAAUUUUGCUUUCUCUGCCACCUUUGGAUCUGGGAUGUUACCAUGUUUGUCCUGUCUAGCUCUUUUCCAUAAGGUAGAUCGAUCAAUUUCUACCCCAGGCAUGGUUUCCUCCAAUUGAUCCUCCAAACCAGCAUAUCCUUUUCGAGACAAUCGAUGAUUGUACUCAAGUUUCUCCCUAAUCUGUGCAUGUUGAGAAUGCACAGACUCAAAAUCUUUGGAUAACUUUGAAGCUACAAAGGCAUCCCAUUGUGCUUUCUCUAUGAAUUUAUAUGUCUCAGGGGGUUGGCUUAAUCUCUCCCUGUCAUUGAUGUAUGGAAGGAUAUAAUGCCUCGUUAGUGUAGACUUGAAAUCCUUCCAUUUCUUGGCAGCAGAAGCUAACACAGAGUUCUUGCCCCCUUGACCUACCACAAAAGCAAUGUCAACUGCUUCCCAAAUCUGCUCCUUUAUAUCCUUGGGAAUUUGAGCCCAUUUCAUGUCCACAAGUGGAACUCUGGAGCGUGCCAACACACCAAUGUAGGACUGCAUCUCACUAUGUGCUUGGCCAAUUCCUUUCCCCCUUUUAUUGUACUCAACAAUUGGCCUGAGUUUAUGAAGUUUUCUCUUCACAACACGAGGCAUUGUGUUCAUACCUCGACCAGACUUUGAAUCAUCAGAGAUUGUUGUCGUGCUGGUUGGUUCUGUCUCAGCAGAUGAUGAAGAAAACUUCAUCUUCUUCAAAGACUUCUCUUCAGAAGUUACCAUUCCAAGCUCCUUACCUCCAUUUUUCUUGGAGCCAGAGUCCUUACUUUGGUCUUGAGAAACCAUUUUUACAGACAAAACUGCAAGUGAAAAUAUUUCAGGAAAAGAUUAAGAACACAAACGACGGUUAUUAAUAAAAUAUGACGUAUGAUAUGAUUUUAAACGACGCAAUGAAAUAAUCUCAGACGUAAUAAAUGUUUAAAACCAAGGUAAUUAAACAACGACGAAAUAAUAUAAAAUAAGACGUAAUAAUAACUUAUUACGUCGAUAUUUACCGGACGACGUGAUAAUUAACUAUAAACGACGAAAUAUUUAUAUAACGUCGUGGUAUUGAUGUUCACACGACGUCAAUAGUAAUAUACCGUCGUCUAUAUAAGGAUCCAAAAUCCUUCUUUCUUUCUCUGUGAAUGUUUGAUUGUAGAUUUGAUUUUUCUGAACCAUGGUUUUUGUUUUCUAAUUUGAUAAAAUACAAGGCCAAGAAAGAAAGUUUUGGAAUCUUAUAUAGACGACGGUAUUUUAAUAUGACGUCGUUAUAUUAACAUUCACACGACGUAAAAUAAUAAGAUACUGUCGUCUAUAUUAGAUACCAACCCUACUUUCUUUUUCUUUAUAUUUUAUCAAAUUAGGGAAAAACAAAAACCAUUGUUCAGAGAAAUCAAACCUGCAAUUAAACAAGCAAAUAAAAAAAAGACUAUAAUUUUAAAAACAACUUUGUCAAUUUUCAGACGACGCUAGAACGACUGACGAACCGUCGUGGUCUACAUAUUUAACCACGUAAAUAAGAAGCUACCGUCGUCUUAUUUAGUUGAGGUAGUUGUCUUCAAAGUUGGAAACUUUCCCUCUUUGUCUGUAUAUUUUAUCAAACUUGGAAAGAAGUAAAAUGAUUUUGGCCAGAAAAAAGGUAAAAAGAUUUUUCAAACAAAAAACGUAUGAGCAUGCAAAAUAGCAACCAAAAUAGUGAAAAUGAAAUCUUACCUUUUGCGUGCAAUGAAAGCAAGAGGAAGACGAUGUUUAAGUUCAGAGACGACGAAGAAGACGAGAGGAAGACGAUAAGAUACUCUGACAGUGCUCUGACAAGGAAAAAAGUCAAAAAGUUUUCUCUGGGAGAUUGAAAUUUUUAAUCGGGUUUGGAAACAGUGCAUGUGUAAGUCAGGUAGACGAAAAGUUGCUUACAUAUAAAACCAUUUCAAAAAAAUAAUACGGCGGUUACAUAUAACUACGACGUAUAAAUUACAAAAUACGACGGUACAUUUAACUUCGGACGUGGUAAAUAAAUACGACAGUAGUGUUGUAGGUACCGUCGUAAUAAACUCAAAAAUUAAAGUACAUAAGUAAUAACUCGCGUCAUGGUAGAUUAUUUAACACGUCGUUUUUAUUAAUUUACCGACGUUGAUUUUACAAUUUAAACGGCGGUUUUUUUGUAAGGACCGCCGUUGGUUUUAAAAAUUUAUUCUAUAAAUUUGUCGCUUUCAUUCAUUUUCGGUUUACAUUUAGGGUUCCAAGUUCUUCCUCUCUCAGAGACACUGUCUCUCACAUCUCAAAGACAAUAAUUUGGAUGUCUUUCUCAAAGAGAAAUUGAGCUUACUCGCAUCAAAUCUAUGUCCACAAGAAGAAGCUUGUCAACUAGCCUUCUCACUUCCUUGAUCAAGCCUGAUAGGACACUUAGUGCUUCUGAAUACUCCUUGCUUUCCAUCAAAAGAGAUGCAAGCCUGGGCUCCACUCGCUGUCGAAGGAAAGUUCGCUUCUCAGGGAAAUCUGAAGAUCAGAUGUGCCUGAUCCUCUGCUUGAUUUUCUUGGCUAAGAAGAUCCGUCAUAUUUGUGAUAGCCUCUUCCUUUAUCCGUAGAGCUUCAGACGAAGAAGAUGGGUUUCAAGAAUGCGAUAAAGAAUAGAAAUGGCUUCAGAUGGCCUCUAAAGACAUUGUCAAUGCUUUGAACUAUACAAGUCCUGUAGAAAGAUAAAGGACCAAACUGUUAAAGAAACUGAAACAACGGCGGUUUUCUGUUCUACCGUCGUCUUUUUUCGUCGUCUAUAUUAAGGUAAGAUGGCGGUAGAUUUAUAAUUACCGACGUAGAUUAUUUUGUUAAACGUCGUUAAGUGUAAUACAACCGACGUGGAUUUUAUUUUUAAAUUAUAAAUAGAGUUUUUUUUCCCGAAUUCUUUCAGUUUUAGUUUUCAAUUACAAAGCGUGAUAAAUAGAUUUUUCUUUCCCGAGGAAAUUUAAAAUGAGGGAAAUUAAUGUUCUAGAAUUUGUAAACUAACACGACGCAAUAUUACUAACCAGAGGAAAUUAUAAACAGAUUUUGCUUUCCCGAAGAAAUUUUAAAUUAAUUCAGUUUGAAACAAGGACGGUUUUUUGUUAUGCCGUCGUUUUUAACUAACACGACGCAAUAUUUGUUUUGCGACAUGGAAUCUUUUCAUUUAACGUCGUUAGGUUUAAUAUAAUCGACGUGGAUUUGAAUUUUUAAAUUAUGAAUAGAAUUUUUUUUCCCGUGACCUUUCAGUUUAUUUUUCAAUUACAGUGCGUUAUAAAUAGAGUUUUUUUUCCGGAGGAAAUUUAAAAUGAAGGAAAUUAAUGUUCUAGAAUAUGUAAAGUUUCUUUUUUGGAUGACAGAUUUAAAUAAAAUAAGAAUAUAAAAACAACGACUGUUUUUGUAUUACUGUCGUCGUUUUUCGUCGUCUUAAGUAAGACUAAGACGACGUAAUAUAUUUGUUGAGCGACGUUGAUUUGUUUUUUAAACGUCGUUAGGUAUAAUAUAACCGUCGUUGAAAAUUGUCUCUCUGAUUGCAAAUUUGCAACGACGUUAGGUAUAAUAUUUGUAGAUACACAAACGCACACACAUCAUCAACUUCCAAAAAAUUGUCUCUCUGAUUGCAAAUCUGUGUUAUCUGUUAAGAUUAUGAUGUGGAACAGAGUUCCAUCUGGUAAGAUUUCUUAACCCUUGGGAUCUUAGAAAAAUCUGAUUAUGUCGGCGGUUUUCUAUAUAAACCGUCGUGGUUAUUUCAAUUCUUGUCAUUAAGUAGAUCUACCGACGUAGGAUAAGAAAAUCAAAGAAAAAAAUUGUUAACAAAAAUUCUUAUUAAGACGACGGUUUAAAUUAAAGGUACGACGUAUAAAAUGAAUAAAUACGACGUUAAAUUUUAUAGUACGAUUUAAAGAUAACGUCGUAGAACUAUACGAGAAUGACGUCGAUAUAUUUAUAUUUUCCGUCGUUGUACAUUAAUUUAAUACGGCGAUAUUUUGUAUUUUAAAGCCGUGGAUUUGUUUGUAAUUAUACGGCGUCUUAUACGAAAACCUCGUCGUGUUAUUUUAUGAGUAAAAACGGCGGCUUUUAUUGAAAUCGUCGUCUUUACUUUCUACGUCGGUCGAUUCAUAACUUCUGCCGUUCUUUGUUGGCUUUGAUUUUACACUGCGGAAAUCUGUUUCAAAUAGACGUCGGUUGUUUAAUUCGGUACAUCGUUGUUUUUGAACAGCCAUUUGAAUCUCCAUUUUUUAGUUGUCUAAGGUGGUAUUACACGACGGUGUUUUUAGAACCGUCGUCUUUUUAAAAACCACGACGGUUUUCACUUAGACCGUCGUUGUUUUCUGGUCGUCUUUUUCACUUUUUGUAGUAGUGAUUGCUAAAUGGAACAAGGAAAUUACAUAAUAUUACAAAUGAAACUAAGCUCUAGUGAUCUCCAUGUGCCCAAAAAUCAAACCCGAUCCAAUGCAUCUUCGUGGUUUAAUGAAUAUGGCACUUUGCUUGAAAAAGGACUUGCACACUCAAAUAUCUUUUAUAUGCAAAGAGCUUCCAUUGAGGAAUUACUUAAAUAAGUUAUUUGGAGGACACCCUUGUAGGGCCCACUUCACAUUAUAUUUCACUAAUGAAUAAUAAGGCCAUGGAGUGGAAAACAAUUUGAAUCUUUAUUCUGAUUGCUUGAUAUAACGUUUAAUUGGGUUUAAUUGUGAAAAAUACUGUAUACCCACUAAAAUAUCAUUUACCUGUUUGUUUGUUCUGGGCAUUAAAUUCUGUUGGGUAUCUUUGUUUUUAACGUAGACUUUCCCUUCAAUUUAUUUGAUUCCUACAAGGAAAACUUUUGCAGAAGAAGCUACUGGUCCACAUGGUUCUUCAUCCACAAACUUAGACAAUUUAGUGAAGCAAGUGCUAUUGAGAAAAAGUGAAGAUGUUUCCAUAAGAAUAUUGAUGUUAUUAAUUAUCAUUUCCAUUGCCAUUGUCUCAAAUAAUCAACUAUCUGGCAAUAUAUAUGUACUACUGGUCUGUAACCAUGAUGCAUACUAUAUCUAGAAUUUUUUUCUGAUUAAGGUUUCACUACGCUUCAGGCCUUUAACUCUAAAAUCUUAUUGGAGAAUCGGCUAAUAUUUAAUUAUUUUUUUAUACGUAUUUCCUUUUUAUUAUGUUCUAUACAUAUUUAAUUGGAUUACUACUCUCAAGGAAGAUUAUCCUUAAGUAUUAUAUUCAACAAAUUACUAUUCAUGUGUCAGUUGGUUUACAUUUAUUGUAUUAAAUCAAUACUCACCAAUUCUUUAAAGUGUGAGAUAAUUAGUCACAAAUAAUGGUGACUAGUAACCAAAGUCAUUGACCACCCAUUCAAAUGUCACCAAAACUAUUUUGUUGCUAUACAAAUAUGACUAAUGCUUUCUAUUUUGUCGCCGGAUCAAGGCCGUGAAGUUCCGGGUUAAACCGUGAGUUUCCGACGCCGAUUCCAACCACUUGCCGUCCGAAUUGGACUUGGGUGUAGUUGAAUAAAAUGUUCCACUCGUCGAGUAGAACCUGUAGCCGGGAGGGUGGCUUGUAGUUUGGAGAUUUUCCGGUGAAGCUUUAUCGCUUUGGACACCUGCGCUUGUGGCGGCACGUGGGCACUGUAGCAGAGGGGAAUUAUUGUCCCAAUGCAAUCUCCUGGUUGUCACGAGUACGUAGGAAUUCGCGGAUCUCAAUUCGGAUGUCGUUUGACUAUCGAACGGAUUUUCGCAUAGUGUGCGUUAUCCGGGUUCGAUAGGUUAUGACCGUUGGAUCAUUUCCCAAUUAAAUUAUGUUGUUCUAGGUAUUCCUAGGAUCGUGUAGGACUUCGCAGAUCGUGAAUCGGAGCCCGGAUGUUCCAAUUCAAUAACUUAAAGUUUGAGUUUUAUAUUAACCGUCCGAUCGUGCGAUCGUAAGCGAUCUAACCGUCUGUUUUGGACCAAACUUGCGACACGGGUAUCUUAGACCUUGUGGAACCUUUAGGAACUUACGGAUUGUAAAACGGAGGUCGUGGGUCCCGUGGACCCGGUUGACCUGAAUUGGGAAGUUUGACCGCCGGUUGACCGAGUGUCUCCCGAAGUUGUUCUAUCGUCCAAAUUGAGUAGUUGGACCUUAGAAUGUCUCAUUCCUAGUACACUUACUAGAAACUUGGGAAAUUAGGAUAUUUAAUUCAAAGUACUCGUUCGAAACGCUUCGUAUUAAUCUUGUGUACGUAUUCUGAAUUAGGUACUUCGAUCACGCAUACGCAGCAGGCGGGACCCUCUCAGGGUCAAGCAGCGUGGGACUACUUGUGAGUGAACUUUGUUUUCAAAUCUUAUACAUGUUUUUAUUGAUGAAAGAUUUAUGCAUAAUGUUUUUAAUGAUUUAUUGAAUAUAUUAUAUUCAUGGGUUGAAUUUGAUGUUUGUAUAGCGCUUUGUCAAUAUAUUGUGGGUUUGGCAUUGUUGGGUAUUGAAAGCAUAUUUUAUAUGGAUUUUGGGAAAUAUUAUGCAUGAUGUUUUAAACGGUAUUUUGGAUAUAUUAUUUAUGAAAUUGUUGAAAGUGAUAUUUUUAUGAGGCAUUGAAAAUAUAUUUUGGGUUUUGACAUAUUUGAGUAUCUUGAGUAUGAAUAUAUGGAUUUUGAGGAUUUCUAUAUAUAUUUGGCUAUGUGUGAGGUACUUGGGUUGUUGAGAUGAGAUUGUGGAAAGUGGUGAGUAUAGAAUGUCAGUUUGGUGUGAAGCACUACCCUAUGUACCUCCCCUGAUUUGGAACUUGGAUAUAGAGACUUGAGAUACUUGGAAUUGUCGGAACCCGGGGCAUCCUUGACGGGAUGUUGCUGUACACCCUUAAUUGGGUAGUCUGCGCGUGUAGGACUGAUCACAGACGUAUGAGUUUUGAGGUUAUCGACGGUACGUGCUGGCUGAGAGUUGGUCCCCCAGUUGGACGGCUCGUUCCCUAGUCACAUAGUGGAUUGAGGACUUUUCAUGAGGACUCUGCCAAGGUGACUAGUCAAAAAAUCCCCCGGUUCGAUUGUUUCCCCGGUACAACUAGGUGAUGGUCAUAUUUAUAAUAUAUAUAUCUCUUAUAUGAUAUAUUUAUAUAUAUAUAUAUAUAUCUAUUGAUUCAUUCUUGUUUAUCGGUGUGGAUACUUCCUUGCCGGUCUUACCAAUGGGUACGCUUUCGAGAGUUUAGUUGUGAGAUUUAUAAGUUUUGGAUGGUGGGUUUUGUAAAGCGUUCUUUAUGGAUUUUGAACUUCGUAUCUGGUAUUGAUUUGUUUUGAUAUAUAUAUAUUAUAUAUAUAUAUACUUGAGUAUGAUGGUUUUGAGAUGCAUGGGAUUUCUUGCAUGGUUUUCUAAACGGUGGGGUUAUAUUACGUUGGUUUACAUUGAACUGAAGUUAUUUUUGUCCACUCACAAUUUUCUGUUUUGCGCCCCCCAGCCAGUAGUUGACUGAGCUCCGCAGCAGAGCCGGAUCAUGAGCUUCCGAACCUUGAGUCUUCGUAGGACUCUUUCUUCAUGUUUUUCCCUUUGAACUCUGUUUUGUUGAAAUUGAAGUUCUUAGCCAUGCUCUGUUAUCGCCCCUGUUAGGGUUUGAUUUGUGAGGCCGGAGGCCAUUUUGUUGUAAACUGUUUAUUCGCUUUAAAGCAUGCUGCUGGUUGGGAUUAUUCUAUGUUUAUGCAGGUUGAAUUUUUGUUGGGUUUGUUCAAUUCACAGGGGAGACUUUGCCAAAAUUUUGGUAGAGAGUAUGGGUUUUUAGUAAGUGGGCCCGGCAUCGGGAUGAUGUCGGAACAAAGACGGGAUUCGCCCUGGUUUCCGGGAAUUACGUAUAUAAUACAACUUCAAUAUUUAUAUGUAUAUUAUUUCAUUAAAUAUUUAUAUAUACAUAUAUAUGUUCUUUUGAAUAAAAGGGGUUAAAUUAUAUAUUUGUUCAUUAUUUCUUGAGAUGCCAUUAGAUGGUUAUUGGAUGCUUUCUAUACAUAUAUAUUAAUAACAUGGAUUAAGAGUUUAGACGUGGCAUCCUUACAUUGUUUUCUUGGAGAGAAAGACUAUUUCUCUCUUAUCUUAAUUAGGAUGCCGGAUGUGGCUUUUUCCAUUAAAUUAGUUGAUGCAUUACCAUGCAUUUGCACAGCUCAUGCUUACAAUUUGGUGAGUAAGCUUUAUCUUAGCUUCAAUAGGUGUCACAGCCUUUGGAAAUAAAUCUCCUAGCGUUGACACAUAGCAACUUAUAAAAUAGAGUGGCAACCAAGUUAUCUUUUCGUAUAAAUAAGAUAAUGUCCUUUGUUAUUAUCCUCUCCAUUGUUACGCCAUCUCACCACCAAUAAAUAGAAGUUUUAAUGGAAGGAAGAGAUAUCAGGCAAAGGGUAAAGAGAGAGGGAGAGAGAGAUGAUGAUGAUGAAAUUCUUAGAAGAGAUAUAGGAUUUAGCUUGUAUUUUCUUAACUUGGAGAGAGAGAGAUGAUGAUGAAAUUCUUAGAAGAGAUAUAGGACUUAGCUUGUAUUUUCUUAACUUGGAGAAAUGCUUUAGAAUCGAGGUAGGAGUUUCUUGGUGACCUUUUAUAAAGAUUGAUCAAAUUAAAUUUCGUGAGCAUUAUAUCAUGCAUGAUAUUAUUAUUCGAUUAUUAUUGAUAUUGGGUGUUUAAGUGUUGUUAAUUAUCAUAUUAUUUUAUUAAUAUUGACAUGAUCAUAUGUUAUCGGUGAUGGCUGGAAUUCUUGGGUUGAUAAAGAAAGUAUGGAAAAGGGGAUAAUGGGAAGGAUCUUUUGUGUAGUUGAGUCUAACUCUUGGUAAGUACCAGGUCUCAGGGAUCCCGCAGCGCACAUGGUUUUUAUUGGGCGAUUCAGGACUGGCGACAGGGAGUUAGACAAGAUGACUAACGAAAGGGAAAUUAUGGGAUGAUUGAAAUGGGUGUUAGUUCAUACAAAUGGGCAUUCGGGACCAAGUGGUAUAAGCAUGGUAUGGGACGUGCAAAUCUGCUUGUCCAGUUAUAUGAAUUAACAGGAGUAGAUGAAGAGCAUUCAUUCAUGCAUUAUUAUUAAUAAUGUGAUAUUUGGCUGUGUGAUUGCAUGUCACUUAAUUUAGAUAUAUCAAUCUACUGCGGUAAGGUCUCAUGUCCCUACUGAGCGGUGAUUGUUCAUUCCUCACCCUGUUUAAUUUUUCAGAUGAAUUAGUAGGCAAGACAAAGACUAAACCAAUUGAGGCUAAAUUAGAUGAGAGUGAUAGAGCUUUAUUUUUUUAAUUUUAAAGUUGUAAGAUUUUGGGAGCUAUUUUUAUAAGAAAAGUUUAUUUUAUGUUUCAACUUCCUGUUAUUCUAUUUUACUUUUUAUUUUCUCAUGCACUAGGCACGAGGUUUCCACUAACCCCCAGGUCCGAGGCGUGACAGAAUGGUAUAAGAGCUUUAGGGAUUAAAUACCCUUGGGAACUGUGGUAUAGUAUUACCACAAAGUAAAUUUGAAUUGGUGAAGUAAGUUAGUGACCUAACUUUUCAGGAGCAUAUUUCUUUUUAUGAUUAAGUGUAGUUUACGUAAUAAUUGUUUAGUAUUGUUUUAUAUAUGUUGGUUUAAUUUGGUAGAAAUAUUUGGUAAAGGUUCAAUUGUUAAGAUAGCUAGAGUAGAUGGGAAACGUGACAAUGAUAAGAAUGGUAGCAUGAGGGUAAUACUAACCAUUCAGGAUAUGGCCUUUGCAAUACGUGAAACGAAUCAACAAAACCAAGAACCCCAUCAAGAGAUUCAAGGUGGUCAAACAAUGAGUGUUAAAGGAGAAAGAUAAAUGAACAAAGAGUUCUAGGAAAUCUGAAAGUGGCUAUUGCUUCUACCUAUUUGGGAGGAGCAAGGAGACCAGAAUAACUCACUCAAGGACAUGUGUAUGCUAUUGGACAAGUGACAAAGCAAAAUGAACCUACUAUGGUAGAAGGUACAUUUCUAGUUUACAACUCAUGGGCUAAGAUAUUGUUUGACCGGUGCUACAAAUUCAUUCAUCUCUAUUUCGUUUGCGUUUAUUCUUGGAUUAGAAUAUGAAUUUAUGAAAUCUUCAUUAAUGGUUGGAUCUCCAUUGGGUAAAUGUGUCGAAGUUAAUAAGGUGUGUAGAUCUUACAUAAUAGAGAUAUCAUAUCAUAAAAUUGUUGUUGACCUUAUGAUAUUGGAAUUAAUGGAGUAUGAUGUAAUAUUAGGGAUGGACUUGACCCAAUUUAAAGCUAUUUUUGAUUGUGGUAGAAAGAUGGUGACUAUGACUCUUAGCGAGGGAAAACAUGUAGUUUCUAUGGAAGUAGGAAUACUCACAUCAAUCUUGGAUAAUGGAAAUUGUAAUUAUUUGAGAUUGAUUGCUCACAUGGUCACUGAGGAUCUAAGUAAUACCAAGCUUGAGCUUAUCCCAAUAGUGAAAGAUUUCGGUGAUGUUUUCCCAGAAGAAUUAUAUGGAAUCCCCCUAGAAAUGGAGUUUUUCUAUAGAUAUUUAUCCUGGCAUGUCACCUAUAUCUAUACCUCCACAUUGAAUGGCACCAAUAGAGUUGAAGGAACUCAAAACACAACUUCAAGAACUUGAAAGUAAAGGUUUUAUUCGUCCUAGUACCUUACCAUGGGGGUUUUUUCUCCAUUCUUUGUGAAGAAAAGUGAUGGAAGUUGUAACACCCCGACCUCAAAUUUAACCUUUAUUUAAUUAUUUAAUUAUUUAAGGGCAUUUUGGUCAUAUUUUUAACCGGAGAGAGUUUGGGGCAGUGACUAUGUCACAUCCCGGGAUCAACUCCGUCGUAGCACGAUAUUGUCUGCUUUGGGCCCCCCCUCUCUGGCCCUCACGGUUUUGUUUCUGGGAGCUCACGAGCAACUUCCCAGUGGGUCACCCAUCCUGGGAUUGCUCUGGCCCCCAACUCGCUUAACUUCGAAGUUCCUACGACUUCGAAGCCAGUGAGCUCCCAAAAGGCCUCGUGAUAGAUGGAUGCGGGUGUGCACAUAUAAGGCACAUCGCCCCCUCUCCGUUGGUUGAUGUGGGAUCUUACAAUCCACCCCCCUCAAGGGCCCGACGUCCUCGUCGGCACACUCACACCACACGGCAGAGUGGCUCUGAUACCAAAUUGUCACAUCCCGGGAUCAACUCCGUCGUAGCACGAUAUUGUCCGCUUUGGGCCCCCCCUCUCUGGCCCUCACGGUUUUGUUUCUAGGAGCUCACGAGCAACUUCCCAUUGGAUCACCCAUCCUGGGAUUGCUCUGGCCCCCAACUUGCUUAACUUCGAAGUUCCUACGACUCCGAAGCCAGUGAGCUCCCAAAAGCCCUCGUGCUAGAUGGAUGCGGGUGUGCACAUAUAAGGCACAUCGCCCCCUCUCCGUUGGUUGAUGUGGGAUCUUACAGACUAGUAUUUUUAGAUAGGUCGUACUGAGACGAGUUCAUAGACAUGUAGUGGGCUCGAAUCGGAGUUCUAACGAGAGAGAUAUGGUCAAAAGAAGCCCAGUGGCACAAUCGUAAAUAUUUCAAAAUGGGAUUUUUUUUAUAAAAACUCAGAUUUUUUUUUCUCUCUCUCUCUCUCUCUCUCUCUCUCUCCCGCGGGUGUCUCUCUCCUCUCUCUCGCGCGCGACGGCAGCUGGCCACGUUUUGGCCGGCCGUGCUCUCCUCCGGCCACCAAUGACGACGGGACCGGUACCAAAAUGACCGGGCCGUCGUCCUCUCGAGCUGCUCUAGCUGAUGGUUGGGUAGGAUUAGAUCGAUUCUUAGCGUAGACAAUUCGAUUUUCGAAUUGAAAUUCGGCCGGUUUUGGGAUCGCGAUUCCGGCCACUUCCGGUCAGUUUUUGGGGUAGGUCCAAGAACAAAAGUGGCUCCAAAUAGGGUGUUAUACCUAGGGUAGGAGUUUUGAGCUGUGGUUUUGAGAUUUUCCGGCGAAGCCGUUAUCGCUUUGGGCACCCACGCGCUGCCGGCGCGUGCGGCGGCGUGUGGGCACUGUAGAAAAAGUAGCAAUGUGUUCCGAUGAGAUCCUUAGGUUGUCACGAGUGCGUAGGAUUUCACGGAUCUCAAUUCGGACGUCGUUUGACUAUCGAACGGAUAUUCGCAUAUUGCGCGUUAUCCAGGUGCGAUAGGUUGGGGCCGUUGGAUGGACCCAAAUUUAAUAUAUGUUGAUCUAGGUAUUUCUAGGAUCGUGUAGGAAUUCACGGAUUGUGAAUCGGAGCCCCGGAUGUUCCGAAAAAUAAUUUUAAAGUUUAUAUUUUAUAUUAACCGUCAGAUCGUGCGAUCGUGAGCGAUCCGACCGUCCGAUCUGAACCAAACUUGCAGGACAAGAUUCCUAUACCUGGUAGAACCCAUAGGGACUCUCGGAUCGAAAAUUGGAGGUCGUGGGUUCCGCAGGUCCUUUUGACCAGGGUUAGAGUAGUUUGACCCUUGGUUGACCGUGAGUCUCCCGGAGUAAUCUCACCUUUCUAGGGGAGAUUAUCGGGUACUAGAUUAUUGUGGAGGGUUACACAAUAUUAGAAUUAAUUUAUAUAUUUAUAAUUAUAAUAUGUUUGUACAAGAGUACAAAAGAGUCUAGACUGUCAGUUUGGAGUGCUAUACCCACUACUUUAGGUACCUUCCCAAAUUUUGGAUUCACUACAAGCACCACCAAGUGAAAGUUAGGUCUCACAUGGCGUAGGUUAUCCGGCGUUAAGACAGGCCCCAUACGUGGCGUUGGUUGUACCGGCGUAUGGGGAGAUAUUGUGAUAUUGUGUUGAGAUCGCACGUGGCGUAGGUUAUCCGGCGUGUCGACAGACCCCAUACGUGGCGUUGGUUGUACCGGCGUAUGGGGAGAUUUUUGAUAUGAUAUUGAGGUCCCGCGUGGCGUAGGUUAACCGGCGUUGGGACAUGCCCCAUACGUGGCGUUGGUUGUACCGGCGUAUGGGGAGAGAUGUGAUAUGAUGUGCAGGUUUCGCGUGGCGUAGGUUAUCCGGCGUUGUGACAGAUCCCAUACGUGGCGUUGGUUGUACCGGCGUAUGGGGAGAUAUUAUGAUAGUAUGGCAUGGUCGCACGUGGCGUAGGUUAUCCGGCGUGUUGACAGGCCCCAUACGUGGCGUUGGUUGUACCGGCGUAUGGGGAGAUAUUAUAUGAAAUACAAAGAAAUGAAAUAAGGUAUCGCCCAAGUGUGGAAUUAGGUUUUAUGGAAGAACUACGUGUGGCUUGAUCCCUCAAGGAGGGUACGUAGGCAGCCUAAGGUUAUUAGCUGCAGCCGCAGACUAAAUAUUAGUCAUAAUUGGUAUUUGAAUUGUUUGGUAGUUGGUUAAGAAUUAUUGGAAGGCCGAAGGCCAUUUGUGCGAAUUGCAUGAAAUUAUAUUGUGCAUGCUGCCAGUUGGGAAUAUUAAAUGUGUUUUCAUGCAGGUAUAAAUUUUGGGAAAUGUCCAAUUUAUAGGGGAGACUCUGCCGAAUUUUCGGCAGGAAGUCUCGGUUUUGAGUAUUUGGGCCUGAUAUCGGGAGGAUGUCGGGAAUUUCAAAGGGUUCGCCUCGAGUUCUGAAAAAUUCGGAGCGGGUCCUUUCAGAAGUCUUAGGAUGUGUUUUGUUGCAAGCUAACAAAGUAGUUGCAUACGACUUUUGUCAAUUGAAAUGACAUGAAAAGAAUUAUCUAACACAUGAUCUAGAAUUGGCAACCAUUGUUCACACACUGAAGAUAUGGAGAUAUUAUUUGUAUGGGGAACGUUUUGAACUCUUUUUGGAUCAUAAGAGUUUGAAGUAUUUAUUGACUUAGAAGGAGUUGAAUUUAAGACAAAAGCGAUGGAUGGAAUACCUGGAAGAUUAUGAUUUUGACUUACAUUAUCUUCCAGGAAAGGCUAAUGUGGUAACAGAUGCUUUAAGUCAAAAUCCUCAAGGAAUUGUAGCAAGUUUGUAUGAUCAAAGGUGGAAGAUGGUGGAGUCUCUUUACGAUUUUGACCUAUAUAUAGGUGCGCAUGAGGAUUGUGCAUAUCUAUGUAAUUUGGUAACUCACCCCACUUUGAUUGGAAGAAUAAUUGAGGCACGGGAUUUGGAUUCUAUGUCUGAAGACAUUCGAACUAAGAUUACAACUAGAAAGACACAGGAAGGAUGGAGUAUCCUCACAAGCAGUGGAUUAAGAUAUUUGAAUAAGUUUUAUGUACCAAAUAUUUCUGAUAUAAGAAAUGAAGUUCUCAGAGAAAGUCAUCAUUCACCUAUACAAUUCAUUCUAGAGGGACAAAGAUGUAUCGUGAUUUUAGACGUAAUUUUUGGUGGAGUAGUAUGAAGGGAGGUGUAGAAAUAUUUGCAGCAAAAUGUCUAACAUGUUAGCUGGUGAAAACUGAAUAUCAGAAACCGUCAAGUCCAUUACAGCCAUUACCAGUAGUAGAAUGGAAAUGAGAUCAUAUAACAAUGAAUUUUGUUACAGGUUUACCUAAAUAUCCAAAAGGACGUGAUGCAAUAUGGAUUAUGGUGGAUCGUUUGACCAAAUCUGCACAUUUCAUACCAGUCAAAUCAAUGGAUUCCACUAAAAAUCUUGGAAAGCUUUACGUUAGAGAUAUAGUAAGAUUACAUGGAAUUCCUAUUUUGAUUGUAUCGGAUAGAGAUUCCAAGUUUACUUCUAAAAUUUGGGGAAGCUUACAGAAAGUGUUAGGUACGCAACUAAAUUUGGUACCGCCUUUUAUCCCCAAACUUAUGGACAAUUGGAGAGAACUAUUCAAAUUUUAGAGGACUUGUUGAGAGCAUGUAUUCUAGAUUUGGAGGGAAGUAGUUGGGAAGAUCAUUUAGUGGUAGUAGAGUUUGCCUACAACAACUAUCAGUCUAGCAUUCAGAUACCACCUUAUGAAGCUUUAUAUUGAAGACCUUGUCAAUCACCUGUGUGUUGGACUGAAGUAGGAGAAACUGUAUUGCUAGGACCUGGUUUGGUACAAGAGACAACUGAAGGGAUUAAAGUUAUCAAGCAACGUCUUUUAACUACUCAAAGUUGACAAAAGAACUAUGUAGACCGAAGAAGGAAAACAUUAAGUAUUGACGUGGGUGAUUAUGUAUUUCUUAAACUCUCACUACUAAGUGGAGUAAAAAAAGGUUUGGGAAGACUGGAAAAUUAUCACCAAAGUUUGUUGGACCAUUUGAAAUCUUAGAAAGGAUGGGUGAAGUAGCUUAUAAGUCAGCAUUACCACCUCAACUGUUGAAUGUACCUGAUGUUUUCCUUGUUUCUAUGCUUCGAAAGUAUGAGCCUGAUCCAACCCAUUUUCUAGAUUGAGGAGAGCUCAAUUUAGAUGAGGAACUGUCAUUUGAAGAAAGACCGACUCAGAUUUUGGAUUCUAAGGAACAAGUGUGACGUACGAAAAUAAUACCAUUGGUCAAAAUUCUUUGGGUACAUGGGAAUACAUUGGAAGCUACAUGGGAAUUAGAAACUAAAAUGUGUAAGAAGUACCCAUAAAUUUUUCCCUUAUUCCAGUUUUUCUUUUUAACUCGAAAUUUCUUUAAGGAGAGUAGAUUGUGAGAGUCUGUUUCUUAAAUGUUCAUUAAAGAAAAAUAAAUGUUAUUAUAUAUUCUUAAGUAAUUAUCUUGCUAAGAAGGAAAUGUAUAUUUAUAAUUGUUUUACGUUUAUAAUACCAUUUCAAUAGUUAUGUGUAUAUUAUUUCAUUAAAUAUUUAUAUAUACAUAUGUUCUUUUGAAUAAAAAGGGUUAAAUUAUAUAUUUGUUCAUUAUUUCUUGGGAUGCCAUUAGAUGGUUAUUGGGUGCUUUAUAUACAUAUAUAUUAAUAACAUGGAUUAACAGUUUAGACCUGGCAUCCUUACAUUGUUUUCUUGGAGAGAAUGACUGUUUCUCUCUUAUCUUAAUUUGGAUGCUGGAUGUGGUUUUUUCCAUUAAAUUAGUUGAUGCAUUACCAUGCAUUUGGACAGCUCAUGCUUACAAUUUGGUGAAUAAGUCUAUCUUAGCUUGAGGUGGAGUUUAUAAUUUCAAUAGGUGUCACAGCCUUUGGAAAUAAAUCUCCUGGCGUUGACACAUAUAUAGCAACUUAUAAAAAAGAGUGGCGACCAAGUUAUCUUUUUGUAUAGAUAAGAUAAUGGGCUUUGUUAUUAUCCUCUCCACUGUUACCGCCAUCUCACCACCUAUAAAUAGGAGUGUUAAUGAAAGGAACAUAUAUCAUGCAACAUGAGAGAGAGAGAGAGAUAUGAUGAUGAUGAUGAAAUCCUUGGAAGAGAUUAGGACUUAACUUGUAUUUUCUUAACUUAGAGAUAUGUUUUGGAAUCGAGAUAGGAGUUUUUUGGUGACCUUUUACAAAGAUUGAUCUAAUUAAAUUUUGUGAGCACUAUUGUUCACCCGUGUUCGUGUUUAACUCCUGAUGUGGAAGGGCGAAGUUCCCCACUGGCUUGAAGACCACUUGCUGGUCGACAAGUCAGCUUUCUUUGGUGUGUGAGCGUGCCACUGCUAGCAAUGUAGAUUCUAGCAGACUUAUUUUGAAAGUGGAUAACUUGCGCCUCAAGUUACUGGCUUCUAAAACAAAACGAUUGUGAAUUUGGGUGAGGAAUAUCUCCCAAGUAAGUUCUUUUCUUGCCUCAGACUGGUGAGGACUUUCAUAAUUUAUCUCAGUAUCAAAUGGUUGUUCUGGCCAGAAUGGAUAAUAAUAAAGUACUAUUUUCAGGCAGAACUCCCUUUUACAAAAUUAAGCAGGGAGAAACCGACUCUAGAAAGGCAAAAAGAUGGCUGAAACUCCAUUUCUGCCUGGGUGGAAACUUCUAAUCCGGGCUGGACUGGGCAUGUCUACGCUGGACUGUACUGUCGACAACUUUAGCUUCUUGGCUUCAGCUGUAAAUCGAUACCAAAGUUCAAUUUUGGCAGAGCUUCAAUCUACUUCAAGCCUUGGGAGACUUUUGAGCGGGCAGAACUGCGACUUCUUCAGUUUGAAGGGACAGAAGUGGCUAUUCGUAUUCAGCAAGCUGGAACUAUGCUAUAAAAUUUGUUGAGGUUUUCAUAUUUGUGAAAACUCAAACUGUGUUUGUCUUGGCUGUUGCUAAACCAAACUUGUAACGAGAGGGAUCUCGCUUUCAGAGGACUUAUUUUCUAAGUCUGAACUUCGGAAUUCUGAUCUAAAGCUGGUUUUCUUUGGAUCCAAGUGAGCUUUUUCUUGUUUGUUUUUUGUGAUUGAUUGAUGCAUUGAGUGUCCUUUGUUCCUUUGCCUACUUUCGUUUUUAUAAGAGACCCUCCUGGGGAGGUGAUUUUUAAUCCUAAAUAAUGGGCGGCAAAAAGAUCUCUUAUAAUAUAAAGUAAGAAGGAUUUCUUAUCAAUCAAGACAGAUAGGUUCUGAGCAGUCACCUCCUAAAGCAGUCUCUUGCCUGGUUUCCUGGGUGGCAGUUUCUAAUUCAAACCACCGCCACCAUCUGUGUAGGCUUUUUAUGGCGGUUUGGCUUUUUCUUUUAUAUUUUCUGAAUGGUUCCCUAUUUCCCGUUCUAAUUUAGAAAGCGUGAUCCGUGAAUCCCUGGGGGGGUGGUGCAUCGAUUUGGAGCAAAAUCUUGAACAUAGAUGGGUUUUUUGAUCUUCAAUUGGCAGUGUUUCAGAGACGUCCCUUUCAUAUUUUUAAAUUUCAGUCGGUAUUGCUGACUUUUCUAAAGCUGAGGCAAUCACGUGGGUGUGUUUUUGAUCCCUUGGGUCUGAACCUAAUCAAUAAUUCAUGGGCUGAUCUUUUGAAGCCCAUCUUGUCAGUUUCCUCUUUGGGCCUUUCUUUGGGCUGAAGCUUUGUUUUCAACAUUCUUGGUGUGAAGCCCAAUCUGUCUGGAUCCUAUUUUGUUUUUCUCAAGUUUUCGGGCUGGGCAGGCAAUUUCAUCAUGGGCUUGUCUCUUGGUUUUUGGUGUGCCGAAUUUUGGGCCCAAACAAUGCCCCCAUUAAGUCUGAAUCGUUUUUUGGACGGUUUUAGACUUAAUGUUUUGCCAUUUAAUUCGCGCACCAGUUUCUUCCGUCUUUUCGCCCACGUCUGCCAUGUUUGCUUGCUACGAACUAGAGUUCGUGGGAAAACGGCUAGUUAUUAGCUAGUUACUAGCUAAUAAUCAUCAGGUGCCGUCCCAUCUUCUUCUUCCCACGUUUUCGAGCCCCUCUUUAAAAGAAAUUCAAAUUCAUAGCCUCUGAAAACCCUAAACCUUCCAACUCUUAUUCCUGCGAGCUUCUUUCGAGAUCUCCAUAUCUUUCUUCAAACCUCUCCUUCUUCUGUUUCUGCCUUUGAAUCAGAAAUGUCUUCCCCAAGGUCCCGUGCUCAAUCCUCUUCCGCUCCAAUUCCUCCCGAUUAUAUCACUGGGAGCGGGAUUAAUGCUCACGCGAUAGAAAUCAGGAGCAAGCUUCAUCCCUUUGCCCAGAAGAAUCUGGACGAGAAUGUCCUCCAUUUGUUCGAGAAUACCCUGGUGUUAGGGCCUCACUGGUUUGGUCCUGUUCCAGCUGAGAUGGCAGAACUGCUAAAAAAGGAUGCCGAGGCUCCUUUGUGUUUUGAGAGCUCUUCUGCCCUGGCCUAUCAUUCUUGGGUUAGCAAGAAUUUGAGUCGAUCUUUCCCGUCCAGCGAGGUGAGGAACAGUUCCGUCAAAUGGGCAGACUGGAUUGACAGACUUCUCCCGAGAUAUGGGGGUCACUGGAGGAGAGCUGGGAUUUAUGACGCCAUUCUUCUGUCCAAACAGUCGAUUAACAGAGAUGAGAACCUGCUUGCUGCUGCCCUGUGUUUUUGGAAUUCUGCCAGCAACACAUUUGAUUUCCGUGUGGGUCCCAUGGCUCCAACUCUGCUGGAUAUGGCUCAGAUUUUUGGGUUUAGGCCCCAUGGCAGACCUGUUGAUGCUGUUGGGGACUAUCACAGGCGAAAGAACCAAGAGAAAGUGGCUACCCCCUUCACUGUCUCCCCAGCCACGAUCAACCAGAACUGUUCUUUCUCCAAUUAUCUGAAGAGAUUCAGUGCUGAGAAGGACAAAGAUCAGCAACAUAUGUUGUUCCUUCUAUAUUGGCUGAACCGAUUUGUCUUCCCCAAUCGGUCUUCGGCAGUUCUGCUUGAGUAUAGACAUCUGGCAAAAGCUCUUCACAAUCACACUGAUGUGGGGCUUGGACCAACAGUUCUGGCCCACCUUUUCAAGAAUCUGCAUACUGCCACUCUGGAAAAUCCGCUGAACCUGUCUGCCCCUGGCGCAUUCUGGAUGAUCCAGAUCUGGCUGCAGGUAUAUUUCCCUGAGUUAAGGUUCCCAGACAUAGUUCUGCCUGAAAACCAAGUUCUGGCUCUUCCCCUGAUGUCUGCAGAAGUGCCUAAGCGCUCUCUUGAGGAGUAUUUGAUGUUCUUCAGGCAUUGUACCAAGAGGUCGGCUGCUCAGUGGCAAGUGGUGAUCAGAAGGACCUAUCCCUGGUUCCAGACUGUAUUUUGGCUUUUUGAGAAGGAGCCAGAAGAUGAGGCUGCCAGAACAGACUUUAGGAAGAAGUUCUUGAGCAUUACUCUGCCUAGAGAUCUGCCUCAUGGUGGGGGCAAACCUCCAAACUAUCAUCUGGGGGCAGAAGUCUAUCAUCCUAACUUCUGUGCAAGGCAGCUUGGCUGUCCUCAGCUUAUUCCGCUGAAAUCAUAUCGUAGUUGCAAUCGGGCCUCUUCUUGGAGGGAUGCAGAUGAUCUGGAGGUGCACAAGGAUGCCCGGUGUGCAGUGAAUAAGAUCAACAAUAGCACGGAUGCCCUCUAUCCCUCGUGGGAACCAAAUUCCUGCAGUUCCGCCGAUUUUGAUGCCUGGUGGCACGCCAGAUUCCAGAGUCUGCCGGCUUCUGUCACUGCUCUCAAAGUGCUUUUUGAUGGUUGGGAGAAUUGGCACACUUUUGCGGAUGGGGAUGCUAGAGCGCACCUGAUCCAGACCAUCAAAGAUAUCAAUGCGCAGAUCAUAGAAGGUAGACAUCUAAUUCUGUCUGUGAUUUUGUUCUGUCUUGGUUGUCGAUCUCUAACAUAUGUUCUGCCUGUUUUAGAUCCUUCUUUGACCAGCGUAGGUGGGCAAUCUGUUCAUGCUGGAGAAGUGAUUGGUAAGUCUUUUUCUUUUAGUUCUAUUCUAUCCCUUCCAGCUGGAUUGGUUUCUAAUGUCUAAUGCCUUGGUGCAGUCUCUUCUGUUAUUGCUGCCGGGGACUUGGAGCUCCCCUCUGCAGAUGAAGGAGAUGAGGUCCAGACAGAACAAACACCUGCCGAGGCCGCUCUUUCUGCCAGAAGAAAAAGGAAAGGGCCUGCCCUUCCUUCGGACAAUAUCAUUCGGCCUGGUAUUUCAGGUAAGCUCAUGAUGUUCCAACCAUUUUUUUAUUCUGUCUUGCCUUCUUUUCCCUAAUACUGCUUUUCUGUGCAGCUGGAAGUCCUUCCCCUCCUCCUACCAAGUUGAAAAAACUUAGAAAGAAGAGUGAGGAGGAGUAUGUCGCUGCAGAAGAAACGGCAGCAGUCCCCACCACUACCUCUAGGACGGAUGAAGAGCUGCGAGAGGCUUUUGAGGAGGUGGAGCAAGAAAAAGAAUUGGAAGAGCUGGAAGAAACGCCUCAGAACAAAACGGCAGUGGUGGAAGAAGAGGUAAGUUUUAUUUCGAUGAUUCGCAUCAGUUCCCUUCUUGCCCUGUUUCUUUCGUUCUGACCCCCAUUUUGUAGGAGGAGAUUCUUGCUGAGGUGAUUGCAGAGAGCAUUGCCUUGGCGCAGAAGCAACAAGGGGGUCCAAGGGCUGAGCUGACUAGCUCAGAACUAGCCCUAUUUGAGGAUGCCGAUGAGGAUGCCGAGGCAGAGCAUUCUACUGCCGUUCCAGCGGCUGAGGAUCAGGCGGAACGGUCUGCAUCAGACCCUGUGGACCAGGCAGAAUUAACUGUUGUGGUUCCGGAGGCUGAGGUGGGAACGACUGCAGCUGCUCCUGUGGUUGUGGUAAUUUUCCUCCUUGAUUGUUCAUGUUUUUCUGCUGUUCUGUCUGUUCUAACAGUUGUAGUCUUUCUAGGUGGAAGUGCCUAAGGCUACUGGUGCUCUGGCUGCGGUAUCCAGCCCCCUGAAACCUCCCAUUGUCGCUGUAAGUUUUCAUAACUUUUGAGCCUCCUUUAUCUUCCACUUUCUGCCUGGUCUUAACUUAUGUUCUCUUCUGCAGAUGCCUAUUCAUUCCUUUCCAGGAUCAUCUGCCACGGCUUCUUUUGCUGAUCCAGAGCUGGAAGAGUUUGAAGCCAUGGAUCUGGAUGCUCAACUGGAGAGGCUGGAGAAACUCAGCUCUCCUCCGAGCAAGGCAAAAUCUAGAGCAGUGCAAGAGGCCAUGGAGAGGUUAAGAAUCUGGCAGUCGACUGAGCUGGAAUUUGAUGAAGAUACAGGGGCUCUAGAUCAGCUGAUGAAGGACCUGGACCUGCUGCAUAGACAGAACAUGGCUCCGAGGCCUAUUCUUGAGAUGGGCCUAAGCCUGGCCAGAGAUGUGCUUAAUCUGCAUGAUCGCUAUGAAGAUCUUAGGCCUACGUUCAAAACUUCUGAGUUCUGUAAGGCCACACAUGAAGCCAAUCUGGCUGACUUUGCUAGGCAGAAAACAGAACUGGAUCAGAUGGUGGCCGGAUAUAAGGAGGCCAAGGCUACCGCGGAUAAGUUGGAGAAGCAGAUUGAAGAACUUCAAAAACAACUGGCAGAGUGUAGGGAGGUGCAGAACAAACUUGGGGCUGGACUGAGUUCGAAAACCAAAGCCACCUUCCUUGUGCAGAGAAUGGUUGCAGCUUCCAGGCCAGCUUUGGAAAUCGCAGAAGCCUCGAUUCAUCAAGGAGUGCUGCUCCAGAAAGAACUCUCUGUCAAGAAGGCGAAUCUGCAGGAAACCCUUAGAAAAUUAGGGUUUUAGUUUUUCAUUUCUGUUUAUUUAUUUUUUUGGACAAAUUUGCCGCUAUGGUGGCUAUUUUUAAAUAAAGUUUGUUCUGCUUUCCUUUUAAAUAGCAUUUUACUAUUUUCAUUUACCCUUGACGUAAUAAACAAAACAAUACUGUGAAAGUAGAAACGAAACAAUCUUUAAAGCAAAAAUGGAUUCAAAAAAAAAAAAAAGAAAAGUCAGCCUUGUUCUUUUUCUAUCCCGGGGUCUGUCUGUACAGCUUGUGAAUCCCACAUGGUUGGGUAGAAUUUUUUUAACCAUUUGCCAUUGAUUGGGACGUUGUGAAUAACUCCAUCUCUGUCCUGCAACCUGUUCACCCGUUUUCGUGUUUAACUCCUGAUGUGGAAGGGCGAAGUUCCCCACUGGCUUGGAGACCACUUGUUGGUCGACAAGUCAGCUUUCUUUGGUGUGCGAGCGUGCCACUGCUAGCAAUGUAAAUUCUAGCAGACUUAUUUUUAGAGUGGAUAACUUGCGCCUCAAGUUACUGACUUCUAAAACAAACGAUUGUGAAUUUGGGUAAGGAAUAUCUCCCAAGUAAGUUCUUUUCUUGCCUCAGACUGGUGAGGACUUUCACAAUUUAUCUCAGUACCAAAAAAUGGUUGUUCUGCCCAGAAUAGAUAAUAAUAAAGUACUGUUUCAGGCAGAACUGCCUUUUACAAAAUUAAGAAGGGAGAAAUCAACUCUAGGAAGGCAAAAGGAUGGCUGGAAUCCCAUUUCUGCCUGGGUAGAAACUUCUGAUCCGGGCUGGACUGGGUAUGUCUAUGCUGGACUGUACUGUCAACAACUUUAGCUGCUUGGCUUCAGCUGUAAAUCGAUACCAAAGUUCGAUUUUGGCAGAGCUUCAAUCUACUUCAAGCCUUGGGAGGCUCUUGAGCGGGCAGAACUGUGACUUCUUCAGUCUGAAGGGACAAAAGUGGCUAUUCUCGAGGAUUUAGCAAGCUGGAACCAUGCUGUAAAAUUUGUUGAGGUUUUCAUAGUUGUGAAAACUCAAACUAUGUUUGUCUUGGCUUUUGCUGAACCAAAUUUGUAACGAGGGAUCUCGUUCUAGGAAAUUUGUUUUCUAAGUCUGAACCUUGGAAUUCUGAUUUAAGGUUGGUUUCUCUUGGAAUUUAAGUGAGCUCUUGGCUGUUUUUCUUGCUGUUGUUUUUUUGGUUGAUGAGUUGAGUGUCCUUUCUUUCUUGCCUGCUUCUGUUUUUAUAAGAGACCCUCCUUUUGAAGGUGGUUUUAAAUUUUAAUAAUGGGCGGCAAAAGAUUUCUCAAAACGUAAAGUAGGAAAGAUUUUUAUCAAUUAUGGCAGAUAGACUCCCAGUGGUCACUUCCUAUAGCGAUCCCUUCCCUGGUUUCCUGGCUGACGGUUUUUCUAUUUUAAUGCCACCGUCUGUGUGAGCUGAUCCUAUGGCGGUUUUGAUUUUUCUUUUGUAUUUUCUGAACAACUCCCUGUUUCUUGCUCUUGAAAACGUGAUUUGCGAAAUCUUUUUAGAAGAUGGUGUGUUGCUUUGGAGCAAAAAGUCUCUGAUCAUAGACGCCCCUUUGAUUUUUCUUUCUCGGCUGUUUUCAGAAACGUCCCUUCUCACAUAAAAACUCUAGUUGGAAUUGCUGACUUUCCAGAGAGGUGAGGUAGCCACGUGAAUGUGUCUUUAGUCUCUUGGGCUUGAGUUUAAACAAUAUUUUGUGGGCUGAUCUUCAAAGGCCCAAUAUGACAGCUUUCUACGUUUUGGGUUUUUUGGGACUGGAUAAGUAUUUCACCACGGGCCUGUUUCUGGAUCUCUUUGGUGUGUCAAAUUUAGGCCCAAACAAUGCCCCCAUUAAGUCUGAACUUGUUUUUGGAACGGUUUUUCAGACUUAAUGGGUUUUGCCAUGAAUUUGCGCGCCAGUCCUUUCCGCUUCGUGCGUCUGUCACGUCCGCCCAUAAUGAUCUAGAGUUCGUGGGAGAAGAAAAACGGCUAUUUAUUUGGCUAGUUACUAGCCAAUAAUCACCAGCUGCCGUAUCUUCUUCUUCCUCUCACGUUUCGAGCCUUCCCUUUUAAAAAGAAAUUUCAGACCCACUGCCUCUUAGCCUUUCAAACUUGGAACUUCUCUUCGGGUUUUCAUCGUUUCCUUCGAACUUCCCCCUUUUCUCUCUGCUUCCUUCCUUGAAUCCGAAAUGUCUUCCCUAAGGUCCCAUGCUCAGUCUUCUUCAGCUUCAAUCCCUCCUGAUUACAUCACUGGGAGCGGGAUUGAUGCCCACGCAAUAGAGGUUAGGAGCAAGCUCCAUCCUUUUGCUCAGAAGAAUCUGGAUGAAAAUGUUCUUCAUUUGUUCUAGAAUACCCUGGUGCUGGGGUCUCACUGGUUUGGCCCUGUUCCGGCUGAGGCGGCAGAACUGCUGAAAAAGGACGCCGAGGCUCCUUUGUGCUUCGAGAGUACUUCCGCCCUGGCUUCUCAUUCUUGGGUUAGCAAGAAUUUGAGUCGAUCUUUCCCGUCCAGCGAGGUGAGGAACAGUCCAGUCAAAUGGGCAGACUGGAUUGACAGACUUCUCCCGAGAUAUGGGGGUCACUGGAGGAGAGCUGGGCUCUAUGACGCCAUUCUUCUGUCCAAGCAGUCGAUUAACAGAGAUGAGAACCUGCUUGCUGCUGCCUUGUGUUUUUGGAAUUCUGCCAGCAACACAUUUGAUUUCCGUGUGGGUCCCAUGGCUCCAACUCUGCUGGACAUGGCUCAGAUUUUUGGGUUUAGGCCCCAUGGCAGACCUGUUGAUGCUGUUGGGGAUUAUCACAGGCGAAAGAACCAAGAGAAAGUGGCCACUCCCUUCACUAUCCCUCCAGCCACGAUCAACCAGAACUGCUCCUUCUCCAACUAUCUGAAGAGAUUCAGCGCUGAGAAGGACAAGGAUCAGCAACAUAUGUUGUUCCUUCUGUAUUGGCUGAACCGAUUUGUCUUCCCCAAUCGGUCUUCGGCAGUUCUGCUUGAAUACAGACAUCUGGCAGAAGCACUUCACAAUCACACUGAUGUGGGGCUUGGACCAACAGUUCUGGCCCACCUUUUCAAGAAUCUGUAUACUGCCACUCUUGAGAAUCCAUUGAACCUGUCUGCUCCUGGCGCAUUCUGGAUGAUCCAGAUCUGGCUGCAGGUAUAUUUCCCCGAGUUAAGGUUUCCAGACAUAGUUCUGCCUGAAGACCAAGUUCUGGCCCUUCCCCUGAUAUCGGCAGAAGUGCCCAAGCGCUCUCUUGAGGAGUAUUUGAUGCUCUUCAGGCAUUGUACCAAGAGGUCGGCUGCUCAGUGGCAAGUGGUGAUCAGAAGGACCUAUCCUUGGUUCCAGACUGGAUCUCGGCUUUUCGAGAAAGAACCAGAAGACGAGGCUGCCAGAACAGAUUUCAGGAAGAAAUUUCUGAGCAUUACUUCGCCCAGAGAUCUGCCCCAUGGCGGGGGCAAACCUCCAAACUAUCAUCUGGGGGCAGAAGUCUAUCAUCCCAACUUUUGUGCAAGGCAGCUUGGCUGCCCUCAGCUCAUACCGUUGAAAUCAUAUCGGAGUUGCAAUCGGGCCUCUUCUUGGAGGGAUGUAGAUGAUCUGGAGGUGCACAAGGAUGCCCGGUGUGCAGUGAACAAGAUAAAUAAUAGCACGGAUGCCCUCUAUCCCUCAUGGGAGCCAAAUUCCUGCAGUUCUGCUGAUUUUGACGCCUGGUGGCAAACCAGAUUCCAAAAUCUACCAGCUUCUGUUACUGCCCUCAAGACGCUUUUUGACGGUUGGGAGAACUGGCAUCUUUUUGCGGAGGGGGAGGCCAAAGUGCAUAUGAUCCAGACCAUCAAGGACAUUAAUGCACAAAUCAUAGAAGGUAGAUACUUGAUUCUGUCUGGGACUUGUUCUGUCUUGAUAAUCUAUUUUUAACCUAUGUUCUGCCUGUUAUUAGAUCCUUCCCUGACAAAGAACGUGGGUGGACAGUCUGUCCAGGCUGGAGAAGUGAUUGGUAAGCCUUUCCUUUUUAAUUUUCUUCUGUCUUUUCCUGUUGGAUUGGCUUUUAACCUCUAACUGCUUGGUGCAGUCUCUUCUGUCAUUGCCGCCGGGGAUUUGGAGCUCCAUUCUGCUGAUGAAGAGGAUGAUGUUGAGGCAGAACAAACCCCUGCCGAGGCUGUUCCUUCUGGUAGAAGAAAAAGAAAAGGGCCUGCUCCCCCUCUGGAUAAUACCGCGCGGCCUGGCAUUCCUGGUAAGUUUGGAGCAUUCCAACUGUUCUCUUUGGAUUUAUUCUGUUUUCUCUUUUCUAAUCUUUUCCUUUUGUUCUGUCCAGCUGGGAGUCCUUCUCCUCCUCCUACUAAGUUAAAAAAGCUUAAGAAGAGGGGUGAAGUGGAAUACUUUGCCGCAGAAGAAGCCGCAGCAAUCCCAGCCACUACUUCUGGGACGGACGAUGAGCUGCGAGAAGCCUUUGAGGAGGUGGAGCAGGAAAAAGAGCUGCAAGAGCUGGAGGAGGUGCCCCAAGAGAAGGUGGCAGCGGUGGAAGACGAGGUGAGUUUUAGUCUGUGACUCGCAUUAGUUCCUCUUUUGCUUCAUUCCUUCUGUUCUGACCCCCUUCUUGUAGGAUGAAAUUCCUGCUGAGGUGAUAGCGGAGAGCAUUGCCUUGGCGCAGAAGCAACAAAAGGGUCCGAGUGCUGAGCUGACCAGCUCAGAACUGGCUCUUUUUGAGGAUGCUGAGGCAGAACACUCUACUGCCGCUCCAGAGGCCGAGGAUCAGGUGGAGCCAUCUGCAUCAGACCCCGUGGAUCAGGCAGAAUUAACCGUUGUGGUCCCGGAGGCUGAUGUGGGAACGACUGCAGCUGCUCCUGUGGUUGUGGUAAUUUUCCCCUUCAACUGUUCAUGUUUUCCUGCUGUUCUGUCUGUUCUGUCUUUUUAACAUUUGCAGUCUUUCCAGGUGGAAGUGCCUAAAGCUGCUGGUGCCCUGGCUGCGGUGUCCAGCCCUCUGAAGCCUCCCAUUGUCGCUGUAAGUUUUCAUAACUUUUGAGCCUCCUUUAUCUUCCACUUUCUGCCUGGUCUUAGCUUAUGUUCUCUUCUGCAGAUGCCUAUUCAUUCCUUUCCAGGAUCAUCUGCCACGGCUUCUUUUGCUGAUCCAGAACUUGAAGAGUUUGAAGCCAUGGAUCUGGAUGCCCAAUUGGACAGACUGGAGAAACUCAGCUCUCCUCCAGGCAAGGCAAAAUCUAGGGCGGUGGAGGAAGCCAUGGAGAGGUUGAAAAUCUGGCAGUCCACUGAGCUGGAAUUUGAUGAAGAUACAGGGGCUCUUGAUCAGCUGAUGAAGGACCUGGACCUGCUGCAUAGACAGAACAUGGCUCCGAGGCCUAUUCUUGAGAUGGGCCUAAGCCUGGCCAGAGAUGUGCUUAAUCUGCAUGAUCGCUAUGAAGAUCUUAGGCCUACGUUCAAAACUUCUGAGUUCUGCAAGGCCACACAUGAAGCUAAUCUGGCUGACUUUGCCAGGCAGAAAACAGAACUGGAUCAGAUGGUGGCUGGAUAUAAGGAGGCUAAGGCUACCGCGGAUAAGUUGGAGAAGCAGAUUGAAGAACUCCAAAAACAGCUGGCAGAGUGUAGGGAGGUGCAGAACAAACUUGGGGCUGGACUGAGUUCCAAAACUAAGGCCACCUUCCUUGUGCAAAGUAUGGUUGCAGCUUCUAGGCCAGCUUUGGAAAUUGCAGAGGCUUCAAUUCACCAGGGGGUGUUGCUCCAGAAAGAACUGUUUGUCAAGAAAGCGAACCUACAGGAGACUCUUAGAAAGCUAGGAUUUUAGCUUCUUCUUUCUUUUGUUCGAAUAAUUUGCCGCAAAGGUGGCUAUUUUUAUAUAAGCUUUCAAAGCAUUUUUACUGCUUUUUAUUCUUGAUGCAAUAACCGGACACGGUUUUGAAAGUACAGUAAAAACAGAACAACAUUAAAGUAAAAACAAAUCUAAACAAGAUUCCCUUUCAAGAAACAAAAAGGUCAAUCUUCUUCCUCUUCUAUCCCAGGAUCCGUUUGUACAGCCUGUGAAUCCCACAUGGUUGGAUAGAACUUCUUUAACCAUUUACCAUUGAUUGGGGCAAAGUGAACAACUCCAUCUCGGUCCUGCAACCUAUAUGCCCCCAUUCCGAGGAUUUGGUUAAUUAUAAAAGGGCCUUCCCAGGUAGGUGACCACUUCCCAUACCCAGCUAUGUGUGCUCCAAGGGGCAGAAUUGCCUUCCAGACUAUCUCUCCCUCUUCAAAACUCUUGUUUUUGACUCUUUUGUUGUAGGCUCUCGAUACAGCCUGUUUUCCUGCUAAGAGUUUGUUGAGGGUGUCAAUUCUGCUUGCAUCCAAUCCUUCCAAUUCCAGUAACAUGGCUUGAGAGUAAUCCUCCCCAGUGAGACCAUGCUGGUGAGCAAUUCUAAGAGACUGGACUGCUAUCUCCAUGGGAAGAAUUGCAUCGUGGCCGUAGGUUAGAGCAUAGGGGGUCAUGCCAGUCGCUUCUCUCUUCGAAGUUCUGUAUGCCCACAAAGUUUCUGACAACUUCUCGUGCCAUUGCUUUGGAUUUUUCUCUAGCAUCUUUCUAAUGAUAUUGAUAAUCACCUUGUUACUUGAUUCUGCCUGUCCAUUAGCUUGAGCAUAGUAAGGAGUAGAUUGAAGCAGUUUGAACUUGAAUGUUUCUGCCAUAUCUAGCAUGUCCCUAGAUAUGAAAGAAGAACCCCUAUCGGUUGUGAUUGAUUCUGGAAUGCCAAACCUUUGUAUGAUCUGUUCUUCUAUGAAGGUGAUGAUCUCUUGAGAUGUUGUGGUUUUUACUGGCUUGGCUUCUACCCACUUGGUGAAAUAAUCUGUGGCAACGAUGAUGAAACAGUGCUGCUGGUUGCUGGCUGGAUAGAUUUUGCCAAUGAGAUCCAUUGCCCAUCCCCUGAAAGGCCAUGGUUUUACUACUGGAUUCAUGGGAACCGAAGGAGCCUGCUGGAUUGGGCCGUGCCUUUGACAGGCUUCACAUCCUUUGGAAUAGUCGAUGCAAUCCUUCAUCAUGGUUGGCCAGAAGUAGCCAUAUCUUCUGAUUAACCAGCACAUCUUUCUUCCCCCUUGGUGAGCUCCACAGACCCCAUCAUGGGUUUCUCCCAUGACUUUCAUGUAUUCUGUCUUCCCGAGGCACCUUAAUAGUACCUCAUCCUUACUUUUUCGGACCAAAUCUUCAUUCCACAUGAGGUAGUUUGUAGCCAUGAUUCUGACUCUUUUCUCAGAGGGCAGAGUGGGAUAUCGUAAGUAAGUCAUGAUAGGCUCCCUCCAAUCAUCUCCAGUGAUCGAGGCAGAAUUGACUUCUAUCUCCAUUCCUCUCGUCAAAACAGAUGGUAGACUUUUCCUUCCUAUCUUGAUGAUCCUUUGGACGCAGUCUUCGGGCAUUUGUAUGCCUGAUGCCACCUGAGCCAGUUCAUUGGCUGCAAAGUUUUUCUCCCUUGGGAUGUGCUCCCAAGUAGCUUCUCUAAAUUCAGACACUUAUAUUCUCCAGCAAUCUGUUUUAGGACAAGCAUGGAAUCUCCCAAGAUUUCCACGGACUGGACUCCUAAUUCUACCAACAUUUCGAGCCCUAUAAUCAAAGCCUCAUAUUCGGCCCUGUUGUUGGUGCAUUGGAAAUCUAGCUGGAAAGAAUAGCAAUGCCUGACCCCUAAUGGUUCUUCCAGAACAAUCCCUGCUCCGGAAGCCUUGUCUGUCUUCGAUCCAUCAAAAUAUAAUUUCCAAGGUGUGAGAUGAAUCGAGUAAAUUGGAUUGUUAAGGCAAACAUGAGCUCUAGUUAACAGAUCUGCAUUUGCAAUGUCCAAAGAAUCCAUGUUUUCAAUUUCCUCUCCCGGGUGAUCUGCCAAAAAGUCUGCCACAGCUUGCCCUUUGACAGCUUUCUGGGGGACAUACCUCAGGGUGAAUUCUGUCAAAGCCAAAGUCCAUUUCCCAAUUCUGCCCCUCAGCAUUGGUCUUGUUAGCAUGUAUUUGAUUAAGUCGGUUUUGGCAAUGAUGUAGAUAGUAUGUGGCAGCAUGUAGUGCCUGAGCUUCACAGCAGUGAAAUAUAAGGCUAGGCAAAGCCUUUCUAUUGCGGAAUACCUUCUUUCCACUUCUGUCAACGUUCUGCUUAGAUAGUAGACCGCCUGUUCUUUUCCUUCUUUGUUAUCUUGAACUAGCAGACUUCCAAUGGAUACUUCUGAUGCAGAUACAUAAAGUUUGAAGGGUCUGCCCCUUUUUGGUGGGGACAGAACUGGUGGAUUUGAGAGGUAAUGCUUUAUUUCCUGGAAAGCCUGUUGGUGCUGUUCUUCCCAUUUGAAUGUCUGUUCCUGCUUCAGUCUCAACAGGGAGGAAAAGGGUUGGAUUUUUCCUGCAGAAUUGGAUAUGAAUCUCCUUAGGAAAUUGAUUUUUCCUAAGAGACUCUGAAGUUCCUUCUUGUUCCGAGGUGGUAGAGCUUCUAUGAUGGAUUUUGCUUUAUUUCUGUCAACCUCUAUACCUCUCUGGUGGACCAAGAAUCCUAAGAAAUUCCCUGCCUGGACUCCAAAAACACAUUUUUUGGGGUUCAUUUUUAGCUUGUGCUGCCUCAUUCUCAGGAAUGCCUUUCUCAGACUUGCUACGUGAUUUCCUUCCUCAGGGGAUUUAAUCACCACGUCAUCUAUGUAUACUUCCAAAGAAUGUCCUAUCAUAUCAUGAAAAAUAGAAUUCAUUGCCCUUUGGUAGGUAGCUCCCGCAUUUCUCAAACUGAAAGGCAUUACAGUAUACUCGAAAGCACCUAUAUGUCCUGGACACAUAAAGGCUGUCUUGUGGAUGUCCUGUUCUGCCAUCAUAAUCUGGUUAUAACCUGCAUUGCCGUCCAUGAAAGAUAGCAUCUGGUUAUGAGCGGCUCCAUCCACUAACAUGGCUGCCAUUGGCAUAGGAUAUUCGUCUUUAGGAGAUGCCUCAUUCAGAUUCCUGUAAUCUACGCAGAUUCUAACUGCCCCUGUUUUUCUUUUGAGAACAGGUACAAUAUUUGCUAACCAAUCGGCAUAGACGGCUGGCCUGAUGAAUCCUGCCUUGAGCAACCUUCCUAUCUCUUCUUUGACCUUUAGUUCUGUGUCCAUAGACAUUCUUCUUCUGGCCUGUUUGACUGGAAGGUAGCCAUCUUUAAUUGGCAGCUUGUGCUCCACUAACUGCCUGUCUAAUCCUGGCAUCUCGUGGUAAUGCCAGGCAAAACAAUCUCUGAACUCCUGCAAAAGUGCCGUGAGUUCAGCCUUGAGUGGUUCCUUUAACAGUGUACUGAUGAAAGUAGGCCUUGGAUCUUCUUCUGUCCCUAAGUUUAUCUCCUGUAGAGGGUCCUCUACUUCUGGCAGGGAGUCAUCUAGUGCUGCCGGUGCAAAUUCCAACACUUCCUCCUGUAAAACUUCUUCCUCUUGUUCUUUUAUGCUUUCAUGGGUGAAUUCUGCCAUAUUAAUGGCUGGAUUCUGUAUGAAAAGUCUCCUUUCUCCCCAGUAUAUCAACAAUCUUUUUGUGAUGGAUCGGAUUGUUGCAGCUCGAUCCUUGUCCAGUUGAUUGGGACUAAACAUCAGAAUUCUGGAAGUUCGGCACAAGAAAGUCUAUUCCAGUCCUCUAGAGAACUGGCUAGACCUUCUUCAAUGAGUCUUUGGGCCGUGACACCAUGGGGGCGGCCGUUCUGAUUGACUCCAAGGAAAGUGUAGGGACCGAGGUCAUCAUGAUAAUACCUUGCUUCAAAGCACAUGGCAGAGGGUAGGAAUGGCCGUGGAUCGGCCUCUAUAAUCUCCAUGCAGCCUUCUUCAUUCCAUAUUGCUAACUGCUGGUGGAGGGUGGAAGGGAUACAAAGGCUCUGGUGAAUCCAAUCCCUGCCGAGUAGUGCAUUGUAGGUGGUGGAGGUAGUGUCUAUAACAAAGAAUGCUAUUUUCAACUCUUUGCUUCCGACUACGACAUCUACAUCUAAGAUGCCGUGUAUUUUGGUGAUGCCCCCAGCGAAGUUGGUGACGGUUAAUCGUGUUGGAAUUAGAUCCCUCUCUGUCCUGCCCAACUUGGUCAGCAUUGUGUGGGGUAAUAGAUUAAUGGCUGCACCUCCAUCUACCAUGAUCUUGGAGAUAGGAAUACCUCCAAGAUUUGCCGUUAUAAACAACGGUCUGAGGUGAUUUUCCAUUUCUCUGGUUGGCUUGGCGAAACAAGCCUGCUCUGUAGCUGGUUUAUUGGCUGUUCUGCCUGUCCUAGGGUCGUCUGCUUGCGGUUCUGGCGGCUCCUCUGCUUCUGCCAACCUACACUCAAAGCUCUCCUGGGAGAAAACGUCCCCUUCCAGAGUGCUUUUUUGUCCUUCGGUAGCCCUGAAUUCACCUGGUAGGAUGAAUACCAUGUUAAUUCCCAGAUCACCCUGUAGGAGGUCUUCUAAUUCUGCGCCAAAAGCUUCUGUUUCUGGGUCCAAUUCCUCACCAAAUUCCAUUAAUUCUUCCCCAUAUUCUUCCGUCCAGUCAUCCUGUUCUGCUACUUCGAGGGGCUCUUUCUGAUCAUCUGCAGAAGGUUCAUAGUCUAAUUGCUCUUCUUCAUAUUCCUCAGCGUAGUCGUCUUCUUUUUGUAACGGGGUAGACCCGGAUUUCUCUAAUGUCCGCGUGGUGUCAGGAUGGCUGCCGGACGACGAGGCUAUAUGGAUAGGAGACCUGGCUGGCUGCUCUGUUUUCAGCAAUUCCCUUGACUGGCAGGCUUUCUGUUCCGUCUGGGGAAGUGUUUCAGGAUUCUUUCCUUUCCUGGCAGAACUGGGUUGUGAACGUACCUGCGUAUUGUCUUGGCUUUUAAGAUAUGUGCAGUAUUGCCUCUGGAUUCUUCUUUUCUGGGUUCUGGUCAGCUCCAGAGUCGGUCUACCGCUUCUUCCUACGGAAUACCACCUCCCUUCUAUGAUCGUUGCCAAGGGUCUUUCGUUUCCGGGCGUCUUGACUGAUAUUUCCUUCCUGGGUUGCUCCAUCCUCCUCUCGCCGUAGUGUGUAGGCCUAAGACAGCUCUUCUGCCUUGUCUUGUCUUGGGAUAUAGUUCCAAUUCUGUCAAAGACACUAGGUGUGGGCUGAUUUUGUUUGUCUAGGACCACCUCUAGCUCUGUUUCACACUUGCACCUACUGCAGAGCACCACCCCAGCCGAGAUGGUCGCUCUUGGUAUCUGACUGGUCUCCCUUAUGAUUCUUCUGCCUCUGCUGCAACCAGCAUCUGUGAUAGGGUCGGUUUUCCUCUGUUCUGGCCAAUUUAAGUUGACCAUAUUGACUUGCGGUUGAGGAAAAGGAUCCGUCGUGACGGAUGGUGGUUUUUCUGCCAACUUCAACCUUCCUGCCGUUAUUCCUUCUUGUACUACGUCCCUGAAAACGACACAACUAUUGGUAGAAUGGUUCCAAGAGUUGUGCCACCUGCAGUACUGUCUGCCUUUGAGUUCUUCCGGCUUCGGUAUUCUGUGAGGCGUCUCUAUUACCUUCUGCAGUAGCAUUUCGUCGAACAAGGCAUUGACCUUGGUUAAGUCAAAAGAGUAAACCUUGUUUUGUGUUGGUUUGUUUGGAACGAAUCCUCCUGUGAAUGGUGGUGGCUUUUGGUCUUUGGGUGGCUUUGUGAGGGCUUUGCAACUGAUGGGAUGUUUCAGUUUUGCCAUUUCUGCCACUGAAACCUCUUUCUCCUCUGAUUCCUCUGUAUCUUCUUGCGACUCCACCUCGAUCAGGUGGACUGAAGAAGAAGGGGUUUUGUAGUAUGUACCUUUGGAGGAGUUCCUCCUUUGCUGCUCUUCCCUGAGUAGCUCUUCAUAUUUGGAUGCCUUAUCAGCCAGUUCUGCCAGAUCUCCGAACAAUAUCCCGUCGAACCUUUUCCUGAGGGAGAUUUUAAGGGCGGCUUGGGCCAUCUGGAUGAAGUGUCUUUCUUCCAUUGGGAUUCGGCACUUCAUCUUGAGCCUUCUGAACCUGGUUAUAAAAUCUUGCGCCGGUUCAUCUUCACUCUGCUUGAGGGCAGCUAGAUCACUGAUGGUGACUUCUGGCUGAAUCCUGUAAUAGUAGUCAUGGAAGACAUUUUCCAUCUGUUCCCAGGUUUGAACAGAGUUAGCUGGCAGGCUGGUGUACCAGGUAAAAGCUUGCCCAGAGAGAGAGUUGCCAAAAAGCCUUAAUUUCAGCAGAGGGUUGUUUUCUAUAGCUAUGCAUUGGACGGAGAACCUGCCUAUAUGUUCGACUGAGGAAGCAUGGGGGUCUUCCCCGUUGAACAAAGUGAAGUUUGGCACUUUGAAACCUGGAGACAACGGUAUUUGAUCGAUGUAGGCUGGGUAUGGCUUUCUGUAAGUAGGCCUUUCCCCUCUUCUAGCCUCGGGUUCCAUGAUCUCUCUGACCAUUCUUCGCAAUGCCCCUACGUCAUUUAAAGCAUUGACUGGGGGAAAAUUUUGUCCCUGUUCUGGCUGAACGUAAUCAAACCUGGGUUCUGCCCUGAGUGGUCUGGGUGGAACUUCCUCCCUGUGUUCUUCCUGCUCUUCGACUUCUGGAUGAUUCCUCCAGUUUGCCCCCUGUCUAUUCCUGUCAUGAUUAGCAAAAAGGUUGUUUCCCCCUCGGGCUCUCCUCCCUCUUGCAGGUGGAGGGAAUGGAUUAGGGUCCAUCCUUCUGGGUCUAUAUGGCAAUACUGCCGGUGGUUCAGGCAGAAGCGCCAAAGGUUGAUCAUGCGGGGCUGCAUGAUGUGAAUUGGGCUGAGGUCCUAGCUGGUUCUGAGCCAGUGUCAGGUUAUCUGGCUGGGCUGGGGCCUGAUGUUCUUGAUUAGGAAGGGCUCUCUCCCUCGGAUCAGCCUGAACUUCUGUGUGGCCUGGCACUCCAGCCAUCUGUGCAACUAGAGGAUUUUCCUGAUAUGGCCAUAUUAGUCCUGGCGGAGGGCCAUAAGGAAGAUCCAACUGCUGGAUUACAGGAUCUGGGUUUGGAUUUCUGGCCAUGGCGGAUUCUCGGUCCUUCCGGAACUGUCUGUUUACCUGCCAUUGCAUCAUGGCUGUCAUGUUAUCGAGAGUGUCCUGGCUCCUUUGUACUGUGAUCUCUUGUCGGAGUACUGACUCCUUUAUUUGACUCAUCCUUUUGGAGCCAGUCCUGGAACGUCUGCUUCCUGUACUGUCGUGGGCAGACUGCCUAGCGUCGCUUUCUUCCGAUUCGAGGCCUUCUCUGAGAACCAUCUUGUUUUUCUCCAUGUCUGGUGUGGGUUCUGACUAGAUCUUCCGGCUUUUGUAAAUCUGUGAAUGACUCUGUCAGAGUAUGUAUACUGAGAAGUCCCACUGGGCGUGCCAAAUUGUUCACCCGUUUUCGUGUUUAACUCCUGAUGUGGAAGGGCGAAGUUCCCCACUGGCUUGGAGACCACUUGUUGGUCGACAAGUCAGCUUUCUUUGGUGUGCGAGCGUGCCACUGCUAGCAAUGUAAAUUCUAGCAGACUUAUUUUUAGAGUGGAUAACUUGCGCCUCAAGUUACUGACUUCUAAAACAAACGAUUGUGAAUUUGGGUAAGGAAUAUCUCCCAAGUAAGUUCUUUUCUUGCCUCAGACUGGUGAGGACUUUCACAAUUUAUCUCAGUACCAAAAAAUGGUUGUUCUGCCCAGAAUAGAUAAUAAUAAAGUACUGUUUCAGGCAGAACUGCCUUUUACAAAAUUAAGAAGGGAGAAAUCAACUCUAGGAAGGCAAAAGGAUGGCUGGAAUCCCAUUUCUGCCUGGGUAGAAACUUCUGAUCCGGGCUGGACUGGGUAUGUCUAUGCUGGACUGUACUGUCAACAACUUUAGCUGCUUGGCUUCAGCUGUAAAUCGAUACCAAAGUUCGAUUUUGGCAGAGCUUCAAUCUACUUCAAGCCUUGGGAGGCUCUUGAGCGGGCAGAACUGUGACUUCUUCAGUCUGAAGGGACAAAAGUGGCUAUUCUCGAGGAUUUAGCAAGCUGGAACCAUGCUGUAAAAUUUGUUGAGGUUUUCAUAGUUGUGAAAACUCAAACUAUGUUUGUCUUGGCUUUUGCUGAACCAAAUUUGUAACGAGGGAUCUCGUUCUAGGAAAUUUGUUUUCUAAGUCUGAACCUUGGAAUUCUGAUUUAAGGUUGGUUUCUCUUGGAAUUUAAGUGAGCUCUUGGCUGUUUUUCUUGCUGUUGUUUUUUUGGUUGAUGAGUUGAGUGUCCUUUCUUUCUUGCCUGCUUCUGUUUUUAUAAGAGACCCUCCUUUUGAAGGUGGUUUUAAAUUUUAAUAAUGGGCGGCAAAAGAUUUCUCAAAACGUAAAGCAGGAAAUAUUUUUAUCAAUUAUGGCAGAUAGACUCCCAUUGGUCACUUCCUAUAGCGAUCCCUUCCCUGGUUUCCUGGCUGACGGUUUUUCUAUUUUAAUGCCACCGUCUGUGUGAGCUGAUCCUAUGGCGGUUUUGAUUUUUCUUUUGUAUUUUCUGAACAACUCCCUGUUUCUUGCUCUUGAAAACGUGAUUUGCGAAAUCUUUUUAGAAGAUGGUGUGUUGCUUUGGAGCAAAAAGUCUCUGAUCAUAGACGCCCCUUUGAUUUUUCUUUCUCGGCAGUGUUUUCAGAAACGUCCCUUCUCACAUAAAAACUCUAGUUGGAAUUGCUGACUUUCCAGAGAGGUGAGGUAGCCACGUGAAUGUGUCUUUAGUCUCUUGGGCUUGAGUUUAAACAAUAUUUUGUGGGCUGAUCUUCAAAGGCCCAAUAUGACAGCUUUCUACGUUUUGGGUUUUUUGGGACUGGAUAAGUAUUUCACCACGGGCCUGUUUCUGGAUCUCUUUGGUGUGUCAAAUUUAGGCCCAAACACAACCUAUAUGCCCCCAUUCCGAGGAUCUGGUUAAUCACAAAAGGACCUUCCCACGUAGGUGACCAUUUUCCAUAUCCAGCUAUGUGCGCUCCAGCGGCAAAAUUGCCUUCCAGACUAUUUCUCCUUCUUCAAAACUCUUAUCUCUGACUCUUUUGUUGUAUGCCUUUGACACAGCCUGUUUUCCUGCUAAGAGUUUGUUGAGGGUGUCAAUCCUGCUUGCAUCCAAUUCUUCUAAUUCAAGUAGCAUGGCUUGAGAGUAAUCUUCUCCUGUGAGAUCGUGCUGGUGAGCAAUUCUAAGAGACUGGACUGCUAUCUCCAUGGGCAGAAUUGCAUCAUGACCGUAGGUCAGAGCAUAGGGAGUCAUGCCAGUUGCUUCCCUUUUUGAAGUUCUGUAUGCCCACAAAGUUUCUGACAACUUCUCAUGCCACUGCUUCGGAUUCUUCUCCAGCAUCUUUCUGAUGAUAUUGAUAAUCACCUUGUUACUUGAUUCUGCCUGUCCAUUAGCUUGAGCAUAAUAGGGGGUAGAUUGAAGCAGUUUGAACUUGAAUGUUUCUGCCAUAUCUAGCAUAUCCCUAGACAUGAAAGAAGAACCCCUAUCAGUUGUGAUCGAUUCUGGAAUGCCGAAUCUCUGUAUGAUCUGCUCUUCUAUAAAGGUGAUGAUCUCUUGAGAAGUUGUGGUUUUGAUUGGCUUGGCUUCUACCCAUUUGGUGAAAUAGUCUGUAGCAACAAUGAUAAAACAAUGCUGCUGGCUGCUGGCUGGAUAGAUUUUGCCAAUGAGAUCCAUUGCCCAUCCCCUAAAAGGCCAUGGUUUCACCACUGGAUUCAUGGGAACUGAAGGAGCCCGCUGGAUUGGGCCGUGUCUUUGACAAGCUUCACAUCCCUUGGAAUAGUUGAUGCAAUCCUUCAACAUGGUUGGCCAGAAGUAGCCAUACCUUCUAAUUAACCAGCACAUCUUUCUUCCUCCUUGGUGAGCCCCACAGACCCCUUCAUGGGUUUCUCCCAUGACUUUCAUAUAUUCUGUCUUUCCGAGGCACCUUAAUAGCACCUCAUCCUCACUUUUUCGGACCAAAUCUUCAUUCCACAUGAGAUAGUUUGUAGCCAUGAUUCUGACUCUUUUCUCAGAGGGUAGAGUGGGAUACUGCAAGUAAGUCAUGAUCGGCUCCCUCCAAUCGUCUUUAGUGAUCAAGGCAGAAUUGACUUCUAUCUCCAUUCCUCUAGUCAGAACUGACGGUAGACUUUUCCUUCCUAUCUUGAUGAUCCUCUGGACGCAGUCUUCAAGCAUUUGUAUGCCUGAUGCUACCUGAGCCAGUUCAUUGGCUGCGAAGUUUUCUUCCCUUGGGAUGUGUUCCCAAGUAGCUUCUCUAAAUUCUGUUAGCAGAUUUCUAGCUGCUACCAGAUAUACAGCCAGAGAAGGAUUUAGACACUUGUAUUCUCCAGCAAUCUGUUUUAGGACAAGCAUGGAAUCUCCCAAGAUUUCCACGGAUUGAAUUCCCAAUUCUACCAACAUCUCGAGCCCUAUAAUCAAAGCUUCAUACUCGGCCCUGUUGUUGGUGCAUUGGAAAUCUAACUGGAAGGAAUAGCAAUGUCUGACCCCUAAGGGUUCUUCUAGCACAAUCCCUGCUCCUGAAGCCUUGUCUGUCUUUGUUCCAUCAAAAUAUAAUUUCCACGGUAUGAGAUGAAUCGAGUAGACUGGAUGGUUAAGGCAAACGUGAGCUCUAGUUAGCAGAUCUGCAUUUGCUAUGUCCAAAGAAUCCAUGUUUUCAAUUUCCUCUCCCGGGUGUUCUGCCAAGAAAUCUGCCACAGCUUGUCCUUUGACAGCUUUCUGGGGAACAUACCUGAGGGUGAAUUCUGUCAAAGCCAAAGUCCAUUUCCCAAUUCUGCCCCUCAGCAUUGGUUUUGUUAGCAUGUAUUUGAUUAGGUCUGUUUUGGCAAUGAUGUAAAUAGUAUGUGGCAGCAUGUAGUGCCUGAGCUUUACAGCAGUGAAAUAUAAGGCCAGGCAAAGCCUUUCUAUCGCGGAAUACCUUCUUUCCACUUCUGUCAAUGUUCUGCUUAGAUAGUAGACUGCCUGUUCUUUCCCUUCUUUGUUAUCUUGAGCUAGCAGACUUCCAAUGGAUACCUCUGAUGCAGAUACAUAAAGCUUGAGGGGUCUGCCCCUUUUUGGUGGGGACAGAACUGGCGGAUUUGAGAGGUAAUGCUUUAUUUCCUGGAAAGCCUGUUGGUGCUGUUCUUCCCAUUUGAAUGUCUAUUCCUGCUUCAGUCUUAACAGGGAAGAAAAGGGUUGGAUUUUUCCUGCAGAAUUGGAUAUGAAUCUCCUUAGAAAAUUGAUUUUUCCUAAGAGACUUUGAAGUUCUUUCUUGUUCCGAGGUGGUAGAGCUUCUAUGAUGGAUUUUGCUUUAUUUCUGUCAACCUCUAUACCUCUCUGGUGGACCAAGAAUCCUAAGAAAUUUCCUGCUUGGACUCCAAAAACGCAUUUUUUGGGGUUCAUUUUUAGUUUGUGCUGCCUCAUUCUUAGGAACGCCUUUCUUAAGCCUGCCACGUGAUUUCCUUCUUCAGGGGAUUUAAUCACCACGUCAUCUAUGUAUACUUCCAAGGAAUGUCCUAUCAUAUCAUGAAAAAUAGAAUUCAUUGCCCUUUGGUAGGUGGCUCCCGCAUUUCUCAAACCGAAAGGCAUUACAGUAUAUUGGAAAGCACCUAUAUGUCCUGGACACAUAAAGGCUGUCUUGUGGAUGUCCUGUUCUGCCAUCAUAAUCUGGUUAUAACCUGCAUUGCCGUCCAUGAAAGAUAGCAUCUGGUUGUGAGCGGCUCCAUCCACUAGCAUGUCUGCCAUUGGCAUAGGGUAUUCGUCCUUGGGAGAUGCUUCAUUCAGAUUUCUGUAAUCCACACAAAUUCUAACUGCCCCUGUUUUUCUUUUGAGAACAGGUACAAUAUUUUUUAACCAAUCUGCAUAGAUGGCUGGCCUGAUGAAUCCUGCUUUGAGCAGCCUUUCUAUCUCUUCUUUGACCUUCAGUUCUGUGUCCAUAGACAUUCUUCUUCUGGCCUGUUUAACUGGAAGGUAGCCAUCUUUGAUUGGCAGUUUGUGCUCUACUAACUGCCUGUCCAGCCCUGGCAUCUCGUGGUAAUGCCAAGCAAAACAGUCUCUGAACUCCUGCAAAAGUGUCAUGAGUUCAGACUUGAGUGGUUCCUUCAAAAGUGUGCUGAUGAAAGUAGGCCUUGGAUCUUCUUCUGUCCCUAAGUUUACUUCUUGCAGAGGGUCCUCCACUUCUGGCGGGGAGUCGUCUAGUGCUGCUGGUGCAAAAUCUAAUACUUCUUCCUGUAAAAUUUCCUCCUCUUGUUCUUUUGUGCUUUCAUGGGUGAAUUCUGCCAUAUUGAUGGCUGGAUUCUGCAUGAAAAGCCCCCUUGCUCCCCAGUAUAUCAACAAUCUUUUUGUGAUGGAUCGGAUUGUUGCAGCUCGAUCCUUGUCUAGUUGAUUGGGACUAAACAUCAAAAUUCUGGAAGUUCAGCGCAGAAAGGUCUAUUCCAAUCCUCUAGAGAACUGGCUAAACCUUCUUCAAUGAGUCUUUGGGCCGUAACACCAUGUGGGCGGCCGUUCUGAUUGACUCCAAGAAAAGUGAAAGGACCGAGGUCAUCAUGAUAAUACCUUGCUUCAAAGCACAUGGCAGAGGGUAGGAAUGGCCGUGGAUCAGCCUCUAUAAUCUCCAUGCAGCCUUCUUCAUUCCAUAGUGCUAACUGUUGGUGGAGGGUGGAAGGAACACAAAGGCUCUGGUGGAUCCAAUCCCUACCAAGCAGUGCAUUGUAGGUGGUGGAAGUAGUGUCUAUAACAAAGAAUGCUAUUUUCAAUUCUUUACUUCCGACUAUGACAUCCACGUCCAAGAUGCCAUAUAUUUUGGUGAUGCCCCCAGCGAAGUUGGUGACGGUCAAUCGUGUUGGAAUCAGAUCUUUCUCUGUCCUGCCCAAUUUGGUCAGCAUUCUGUGGGGUAAUAGAUUAAUGGCUGCUCCUCCAUCUACCAUGAUCUUGGAAAUAGGAAUACCCCCAAGAUUUGCCGUUAUAAACAAAGGUCUGAGGUGAUUUGCCAUUUCUCUGGUUGGCUUGGCGAACCAAGGUUGCUCUGUAGCUGGUUUAUCGGCUGUUCUGCCUGUCCUGGAGAUGUCUGCUUGUGGUUCUGGUGGCUCCUCUGCUUCUGCCAAUCUACAUUCAAAGCUUUCCUGAGAGAAAACAUCUCCUUCCAGAGUGCUUUCUUGUCCUUCGGUAGCCCUGAAUUUACCUGGUAGGAUAAAUACCAUGUUAAUUCCCAGAUCACCCUGUAGGAGGUCUUCUAAUUCUGCGCCAAAAGCUUCUGUCUCUGGGUCCAAUUCUUCACCAAAUUCCAUUAAUUCUUCCCCGUAUUCUUCCGUCCAGUCAUCCUGUUCUGCUACCUCGGGGGGCUCUUUCUGGUCAUCUGCAGAAGGUUCAUAGUCCAAUUGCUCUUCUUCCUCUAUGUAGUCGUCUUCUCCUUGUAACGGGGUAGACCCGGAUAUCUCUGGUAUCUGCUCGGUGUCAGGACAGCUACUGGACGAUGAGGCUAUAUGGGCAAGAGAUCUGGCUGGUGGUUCUGUUUUCAGCAAUUCCCCUGACUGGCAAGCUUUCUGUUCUGUCUGGGGAAGUGAUUCAGGAUUUUUUCCUUUCCUGGCAGAACUGGGUUGUGAACGUACCUGCGUAUUAUCCUGGCUCUUAAGAUAUGUGCAGUAUUGCCUCUGGAUUCUUCUUUUCUGAGUUCUGGUCAGCUCCAGAGUUGGCCUACCAUUUCUUCCUACGGAAUACCAUCUCCCUUCUAUGAUCGUCGCCAAGGGUUUUUCGUUUCCGGGUGUCUUGACUGGUAUUUCCUUUCUGGGUUGCUCCAUCCUCCUCUCGCUGUACUGUGUAGGCUUAAGACAACUCUUCUGCCUUGUUUUGUCUUGGGAUGAGGUUCCAAUCCUGUCAAAGACACUAGGUGUGGGCUGAUUUUGUCUGUCUAGAACCACCUCUAGCUCUGUUUCACAUUUGCACCUACUGCAAAGCACUAUCCCAGCUGAGAUGGUCGCUCUUGGUAUUUGACUGGUCUCUCUUAUGAUUCUUCUGCCUCUGCUGCAGCCAGCAUCUGUGAUUGGCUGGGUUUUCCUCUGUUCUAGCCAAUUUAAGUUGACCAUAUUGACUUGAGGUUGAGGAAAAGGAUCCGUUAUGACCGAUGGUGGUUUUUCUGCCAGUUUAAGCCUUCCUGCCGUUAUCCCUUCUUGUAUCACGUCCCUGAAAACAACACAACUAUUGGUAGAAUGAUUCCAAGAGUUGUGCCACCUGCAGUACUGUCUGCCCUUGAGUUCUUCCGGUUUUGGUAUUCUGUGAGGCGUCUCUAUUGCCUUCUGCAGUAGCAUUUCGUCGAACAGGGCAUCGACCUUGGUUAAGUCAAAAGAGUAAACCUUGUUUUGUGUUGGUUUAUUUGGAACGAAUCCUCCUAUGAAUGGUGGCGGCUUUUGGUCUUUAGGUGGCUUUGUGAGGGCUUUGCAACUAAUGGGAUGUUUUAGUUUUUCCAUUUCUGCCACUGAAACCUCUUUCUCCUCUGAUUCUUCCGCAUCUUCUUGUGAUUCCACCUCGAUCAGGUGGACUGAAGAAGAAGGGGUUUUAUAGUAUGUACCUUUGGAGGAGUUCCUCCUUUGCUGUUCUUCCCUGAGUAACUUCUCAUAUUUGGAUGCCUUAUCGGCCAGUUCUGUCAGAUCUCCGAACAAUAUCCCGUCGAACCGUUUCCUGAGAGAGAUUUUAAGGGCGGCCUGGGCCAUCUGGAUGAAGUGUCUUUCUUCCAUAGGGAUUCGGCACUUCAUCUUGAGCUUUCUGAACCUGGUUAUGAAAUCUUGUGCCGGUUCAUCUUCACUCUGCUUGAGGGCGGCUAGAUCACUGAUGGUGACUUCCGGCUGAAUCCUGUAGUAGUAGUCGUGAAAGACAUUUUCCAUCUGUUCCCAGGUUUGAACAGAGUUAGCUGGCAGGCUGGUGUACCAGGUAAAAGCUUGUCCAGAGAGAGAGUUGCCGAAAAGCCUUAAUUUCAGCAGAGGGUUAUUCUCUAUAGCUAUGCAUUGGACGGAGAACCUGCCUAUAUGUUCAACUGAAGAAGCAUGGGGGUCUUCCCCAUUGAACAAAGUGAAAUUUGGCACUUUGAAACCUGGAGACAGCGGUAUUUGAUCAAUAUAGGCUGGGUAUGGCUUCCUGUAAGUAGGCCUUUCUCCUCUCCUAGCCUCGGGUUCCAUGAUCUCUCUGAUCAUUCUUUGUAAUGCCCCUAUGUUAUUCAAAGCAUUGACUGGGGGAAGAUUUUGUCCCUGUUCUGGCUGAACGUAAUCAAAUCUGGGCUCUGCUCUGUGUGGUCUGGGUGGAAGUCCUUCCCUGUGUUCUUCCUGCUCUUCGACUUCUGGAUGAUUCCUCCAAUUUGCCCCUGGUCUAUUCCUGUCAUGAUUAGCAAAGAGGUUGUUCCCUCCUCGGCCUCUCCUCCCUCUUGCAAGUGGAGGGAAUGGAUUAGGGUCCAUCCUUCUGGGUCUAUAUGGCAAUACUGCCGGUGGCUCAGGCAGAAGUGCCAAAGGUUGAUCAAGCGGGGCCACAUGAUAUGGAAUGGGUUGAGGUUCUGGCUGGUUCUGAGCCAGUGCCGGGUUGUCUGGUUGGGCUGGGGCCUCAUACUCUUGAUUAGGAAAGGCUCUUUCCCUCGGACCAGCCUGAAUUUCUCUGUGGUCUGGCACUCCAGCCAUCUGUGCAACUAGGGGAUUUUCCUGGUAUGGCCAUAUUAGUCCUGGCGGAGGGCCAUAAGGGAGAUCCAACUGCUGGAUUACAGGAUCUGGGUUUGGGUUUCUGGCCAUGGCGGAUUCUCGGUCCUUCCGGAAUUGUCUGUUCACCUACCAUUGCAUCAUGGCUGUCAUGUUAUUGAGAGUAUCCUGGCUCCUUUGUACUGUGAUCUCUUGUCGGAGUACUGACUCCUGCACUUGAUCCAUCCUUUUGGAGCCAAUCCUGGAACGUCUACUUCCUGUACUGCCGUGGGCAGAAUGCCUAGCAUCGCUUUCUUCUGACUCGAGGCCCUCCCUGAGGACCAUCUUGUUUUUCUCCAUAUCUGGUGUGGGUUCUGACUAGAUCUUCCGAUAUUUGUAAAUCUGUGAAUGAUUCCGUCAGAAUAUGUAUACUGAGAAGUCCCACCGGGCGUGCCAAAUUGUUCACCCGUGUUCGUGUUUAACUCCUGAUGUGGAAGGGCGAAGUUCCCCACUGGCUUGAAGACCACUUGCUGGUCGACAAGUCAGCUUUCUUUGGUGUGUGAGCGUGCCACUGCUAGCAAUGUAGAUUCUAGCAGACUUAUUUUGAAAGUGGAUAACUUGCGCCUCAAGUUACUGGCUUCUAAAACAAAACGAUUGUGAAUUUGGGUGAGGAAUAUCUCCCAAGUAAGUUCUUUUCUUGCCUCAGACUGGUGAGGACUUUCAUAAUUUAUCUCAGUAUCAAAUGGUUGUUCUGGCCAGAAUGGAUAAUAAUAAAGUACUAUUUUCAGGCAGAACUCCCUUUUACAAAAUUAAGCAGGGAGAAACCGACUCUAGAAAGGCAAAAAGAUGGCUGAAACUCCAUUUCUGCCUGGGUGGAAACUUCUAAUCCGGGCUGGACUGGGCAUGUCUACGCUGGACUGUACUGUCGACAACUUUAGCUGCUUGGCUUCAGCUGUAAAUCGAUACCAAAGUUCAAUUUUGGCAGAGCUUCAAUCUACUUCAAGCCUUGGGAGACUUUUGAGCGGGCAGAACUGCGACUUCUUCAGUUUGAAGGGACAGAAGUGGCUAUUCGUAUUCAGCAAGCUGGAACUAUGCUAUAAAAUUUGUUGAGGUUUUCAUAUUUGUGAAAACUCAAACUGUGUUUGUCUUGGCUGUUGCUAAACCAAACUUGUAACGAGAGGGAUCUCACUUUCAGAGGACUUAUUUUCUAAGUCUGAACUUCGGAAUUCUGAUCUAAAGCUGGUUUUCUUUGGAUCCAAGUGAGCUUUUUCUUGUUUGUUUUUUUUGAUUGAUUGAUGCAUUGAGUGUCCUUUGUUCCUUUGCCUACUUUCGUUUUUAUAAGAGACCCUCCUGGGGAGGUGAUUUUUAAUCCUAAAUAAUGGGCGGCAAAAAGAUCUCUUAUAAUAUAAAGUAAGAAGGAUUUCUUAUCAAUCAAGACAGAUAGGUUCUGAGCAGUCACCUCCUAAAGCAGUCCCUUCCCUGGUUUCCUGGGUGGCAGUUUCUAAUUCAAACCACCGCCACCAUCUGUGUAGGCUUUUUAUGGCGGUUUGGCUUUUUCUUUUAUAUUUUCUGAAUGGUUCCCUAUUUCCCGUUCUAAUUUAGAAAGCGUGAUCCGUGAAUCCCUGGGGGGGUGGUGCAUCGAUUUGGAGCAAAAUCUUGAACAUAGAUGGGUUUUUUGAUCUUCAAUUGGCAGUGUUUCAGAGACGUCCCUUUCAUAUUUUUAAAUUUCAGUCGAUAUUGCUGACUUUUCUAAAGCUGAGGCAAUCACGUGGGUGUGUUUUUGAUCCCUUGGGUCUGAACCUAAUCAAUAAUUCAUGGGCUGAUCUUUUGAAUCCCAUCUUGUCAGUUUCCUCUUUGGGCCUUUCUUUGGGCUGAAGCUUUGUUUUCAACAUUCUUGGUGUGAAGCCCAAUCUGUCUGGAUCCUAUUUUGUUUUUCUCAAGUUUUCGGGCUGGGCAGGCAAUUUCAUCAUGGGCUUGUCUCUUGAUUUUGGGUGUGCCGAAUUUUGGGCCCAAACAACUAUAUUAUGCAUGAUAUUAUUAUUUGAUUAUUAUUGAUAUUGGGUGUUUAAGUGUUGUUAAUUAUCAUCAUAUUAUUUUAUUCAUAUUGACAUGAUCAUAUGUUAUCGGUGAUGGCUGGAAUUCUUGGGUUGAUAAAGAAAGUAAGAAAAAGGGGGUAAUGGGAAGGAUCUUUUGUGUAGUUGAGUCUAACUCUUGGCAGGUACCAGGUCUCAAGGAUCCCGCAGUGCACAUGGUUUUCAUUGGGUGAUUCGGGACUAGCGACAGAGAGUUAGACAAGAUGACUAACGAAAUGGGAAUUAUGAGAAGAUUGAAAUGGGUGUUUGUUCAUAUAAAUGGGCAUUUGGGGCCAAGUGGUAUAAGCAUGGUAUGGGACGUGCAGGUCUGCUUGUGCAGUCAUAUGAAUUAACAGGAGUAGAUGAAGAGCAUUCAUUCAUGCAUUAUUAUUAAUAAUGUGAUAUUUAGCUGUGUGAUUACAUGUCACUUAAUUUAGUUAAAUCAAUCUACUGUGGUGAGGUCUCAUGUCCCUACUGAGUGGUGGUUUCUCAUCCCUCACCCUGUUUAAUUUUUCAGAUGAAUUAGUGGGCAUGACAAGGACUAAAUCAGUUGAGGCUGAACUAGAUGAGAGUGAUAGAGCUUUAUUUUUUUUAAUUGUAAAGUUUUAAGAUUUUGGGAGCUAUUUUUAUAAGAAAAGUUUAUUUUAUGUUUCGGCUUCUUUUUAUUCUAUUUUACCUUUUAUUUUCUCAUGCACUGGGCACGGGGUUUCCACUGACCCACGGGUCCGGGGCGUGACAAGGGUUAAUCGUUUUAUUCGUUCUUGGACUUAGACCCGGUUUGCAUUUGAGUACCUCAAUUUCCAAAAUCGUUCUCAUAUUCCUUUAACUUCACUUUUGUUAGGACAAAUGGUCCAGCCAUUAAUUUUGUUAACUUUUUCUGUUAAAUGCAGGGGCAAAAUGGUAUUUUUAUAUUAAAACCAAAAGAAUAAAUAAAUAAUCACAUCUUUAAAAUAACAAUAAAAUCAAAUCAAAUAAAAAACCAACCAAAAAAAAAUCGAGUUUGGGAAGAGUAGAAAUCGGGAUAGAGGGGGAGAGAGAGAGUUUAAUUUUAAUUUUUUAUUCAUAUUUUAAUCAAUUUAAUACAAAAUGAGGAGAACUACCCCCCCUCUUCUUCUCUUUUUAUUCACUACAUGCCAUGUAAAGAGAAGAACUAAAUGAGGUUAGGUUAUUAAAAUUGGGUGAGCUAGGAUUCUAUUUUUUUUGGCUGGAAAAAAGAAGCCACCUGGGUUGCCAAACUAAAGGUACAUCCGUGGGUAAGCUAGGAUUUUAUUUUUUUUUGGCUUGAAAAAAGAAGCCACCUGGGCUAUAGCCCAGGUUUGCCAAACUAAAGGAAGGUCUGUGGGUGGGCUAGGAUUUUAUUUUUUUGGCUGGAAAAAAGAAGUAGGUUUGCCAAACUAAAGAUCCGUCUCUGUUUCCACUUCAACCCAUUUACAAUCAAACUAUUUUAUGACUAAAACACUUCACAUUAAUGAUAAUUUUAUUAAACUAAAACACAGUUUUAUGAGUCUACUUAUGGAGAAAAACUUAGUUGCAAUGAGAUAACACUAUUUUGCUAUCCUUAUUUCAUAAAAGUCUUUCUCCUACUUAUGACUAUGGUUGCAGCCUGCAAUAUUCUUAAAAUAAUAAAAAAAUAAAAAAAAUAAAAAAAGUAGCUAUUCUGAAGGACAUUACCUCACUUUUGCUGUAUAAAUACUCUGCAUUUGCAAGCACUGCAAUGCACACACAAAAGCUAAGAUGGAUUCCAGAGAAGUAGCAACUAAGCCACACGCUGUUUGCAUUCCAUUCCCUUAUCAAAGCCAUAUAAAGGCAAUGCUUAAAUUUGCAAAGCUCCUCCACCACAGAGGUUUUCAUAUAACCUUUGUUAACACAGAGUUCAAUCACAAGCGCUUUCUUAAAUCUCAAGGACCCAAUUCCCUUGUUGGCUUGCCUGAUUUUCAAUUCGAUGCCUUCCCGGAUAGCCUUCCGGAUUCAGAUGAAGAUGCCACACCAGAUGCCACCUUGCUUUGUGAAUCCAUCAGAAAAAAAAAAUUCUUGGCUCCCUUUCAUGCCCUCCUUGCAAAACUCAACAAUGAUGCCAUAUCAACAUCCCACAAUCCUCCUGUGACUUGCAUAGUUUCAGAUGGUUUCAUGUCCGCGUUCACAAUCACAGCUGCUGAAGAAAUCGGAGUCCCUAUAGCGCUGUUCUACACUAUAGCUGCCUGCAGCUUCAUGGGAUUUAAACAACUUCGCGCUGUGGUCGAAAAAGGACUUUUUCCACUCAAAGGUGAAUAACUACGAAUUAAAAGCAAUUGUUGUUUCUAAACAUGCAAAUGAAAUGUUUCUUCAAUUGAAUUUCAUUUGUCUAUUGCAGAUGAGAGCUGUUUCAAAAAUGGCUAUCUGGACACCGUAAUAGAUUGGAUCCCAGGAAUGAGAGAUAUCCGUUUAAGGGAUCUCCCGACCUUCGCGCGAAACACAAAUCUGGAUGACACCGGAUUUAACUUCAUCAUGGAAGAAACCGAAAGAGCUCAUGAAGCUUCAGCAGUUGUUCUUCAUACUUUUCAUGCCUUGGAGACAGAUGUUUUGGAAGCUCUCUCAUCUAUGCUUCCCCAUGUGUACACCGUUGGCCCUCUUCAAUUGCAUCUCAAUCAGAUACCAGAGCACCCUUUGAAAAUGGGAUACAGUCCAUGGAAAGAAGAAACUGAAUGCCUCGAGUGGCUAAACACCAAGGCACCAAACUCAGUUGUCUAUGUGAAUUUCGGCAGUGUAGCAGUCGUGACACCAGAACAGCUUGUGGAGUUUGGGUGGGGACUUGCAAAUAGCAAGCUUCCAUUCUUUUGGGUAAUUAGACCUGAUCUAGUUGUUGGAGAAUCAGCUAUUUUGCCGCCUGAGUUUGUGGCUGAAACUAAGGAAAGAAGUCUAAUAGCUGGGUGGUGCCCACAAGAGCAAGUCCUCAACCACCCCUCAGUUGGAGGAUUUUUAAUGCACAGCGGUUGGAAUUCAACAGUUGAGAGCCUUACUGCAGGAGUUCCUAUGCUCUGUUGGCCAUUCUUCGGGGACCAGCAAAUGGACUGUCGCUAUACUUGCAAUGAAUGGGGAAUUGGCAUGGAGAUUAGUGAUGAUGCGAAGAGGGAAGAGGUAGAGAAGCUUAUCAAAGAGUUAAUGGAGGGAGAGAAGGGUAAGAAGAUGAAAAAUAAGGUCAUGGAGUGGAAGAAACUUGCAGAAGAAGCUACUGGUCCACAUGGUUCUUCAUCCACAAACUUAGACAAUUUAGUGAAUCAAGUGCUAUUGAGAAAAAGUUAAGAUGUUUCCAUAAGAAUAUUGAUGUUAUUAAUUAUCAUUUCCAUUGCCAUUGUCUCAAAUAAUCAACUAUCUGGCAAUAUAUAUGUACUACUGGUCUGUAACCAUGAUGCGUACUAUAUCUAGAAUUUUAUUCUGAUUAAGGUUUCACUACGCUUCAGGCCUUUAACUCUAAAAUCUUAUUGGAGAAUCGGCUAAUAUUUAAUUAUUUUUUAUACGUAUUUCCUUUUUACUGUGUUCUAUACAUAUUUAAUUGGAUUACUACUCUCGAGGAAGAUUAUCCUUAAGUAUUAUAUUCAACAAAUUACUAUUCAUGUGUCAGUUGUUUUACAUUUAUUGUAUUAAAUCAAUACUCACCAAUUCUUUAAGGUGUGAGAUAAUUAGUCACAAAUAAUGGUGACUAGUAACCAAAGUCAUUGACCACCCAUUCAAAUGUCACCAAAACUAUUGUGUUGCUAUACAAAUAUGACUAAUGCUUUCUAUUUUGUCGCCGGAUCAAGGCCGUGAAGUUCCGGGUUAAACCGUGAGUUUCUGAAGCCGAUUCUGACCACUUGCCGUCCGAAUUGGACUUGGGUGUUUGAAUAAAAUGUUCCACUCGUCGAGUAGAACCUGUAGCCGGGAGGGGUGGCUUGUAGUUUGGAGAUUUUCCGGUGAAGCUUUAUCGCUUUGGACACCCGCGCGUGUGGCGGUACGUGGGCACUAUAGCAGAGGGUCAUUAUUGUCCCAAUGCGAUCUCCUGGUUGUCACGAGUACGUAGGAAUUCGCGGAUCUCAAUUCGGAUGUCGUUUGACUAUCGAACGGAUUUUCGCAUAGUGUGCGUUAUCCGGGUUCGAUAGGUUCUGACCGUUGGAUCAUUUCCCAAUUAAAUUAUGUUGUUCUAGGUAUUCCUAGGAUCGUGUAGGACUUCGCAGAUCGUGAAUCGGAGCCCGGAUGUUCCAAUUCAAUAACUUAAAGUUUGAGUUUUAUAUUAACCGUCUGAUCGUGCGAUCGUAAGCGAUCUAACCGUCUGUUUCAGACCAAACUUGCGAGACGGGUAUCUUAGACCUUGUGGAACCUUUAGGAACUUACGGAUUGUAAAACGGAGGUCGUGGGUCCCGUGGACCCGGUUGACCUGAAUUGGGAAGUUUGACCGCCGGUUGACCGAGUGUCUCCCGAAGUUGUUCCAUCGUCCAAAUUGAGUAGUUGGACCUUAGAAUGUCUCAUUCCUAGUACACUUACUAGAAACCUGGGAAAUUAGGAUAUUUAAUUCAAAGUACUCGUUCGAAACGCUUCGUAUUAAUCUUGUGUACGUAUUCUGAAUUAGGUACUUCGACCACGCAUACGCAGCAGGCGGGACCCUCUCAGGGUCAAGCAGCGUGGGACUACUUGUGAGUGAACUUUGUUUUCAAAUCUUAUACAUGUUUUUAUUGAUGAAAGAUUUAUGCAUAAUGUUUUUAAUAAUUUAUUGAAUAUAUUAUAUUCAUGGGUUGAAUUUGAUGUUUGUAUAGCGCUUUGUCAAUAUAUUGUGGGUUUGGCAUUGUUGGGUAUUGAAAGCAUAUUUUAUAUGGAUUUUGGGAAAUAUUAUGCAUGAUGUUUUAAACGGUAUUUUGGAUAUAUUAUUUAUGAAAUUGUUGAAAGUGAUAUUUUUAUGAGGCAUUGAAAAUAUAUUUUGGGUUUUGACAUAUUUGAGUAUCUUGAGUAUGAAUAUAUGGAUUUUGAGGAUUUCUAUAUAUAUUUGGCUAUGUGUGAGGUACUUGGGUUGUUGAGAUGAGAUUGUGGAAAGUGGUGAGUAUAGAAUGUCAGUUUGGUGUGCUAUAAGCACUACCCUAUGUACCUCCCCUGAUUUGGAACUUGGAUAUGGAGACUUGAGAUACUUGGAAUUGUCGGAACCCGGGGCAUCCUUGACGGGAUGUUGCUGUAGACCCUUGAUUGGGUAGUCUGCGCUCGUAGGACUGAUCACAGACGUAUGAGUUUUGAGGUUAUCGACGGUACGUGCUGGCUGAGAGUUGGUCCCCCAGUUGGACGGCUCGUUCCCUAGUCACAUAGUGGAUUGAGGACUUUUCAUGAGGACUCUGCCAGGGUGACUAGUCAAACAAUCCCCCGGUUGGAUUGUUUCCCCGGUACAACUAGGUGAUGGUCAUAUUUAUAAUAUAUAUAUCUCUUAUAUGAUAUAUUUAUAUAUAUAUCUAUUCAUUCAUUUUUGUUUCUCGGUGUGGAUACUUCCUUGCCGGUCGUACCAAUGGGUACGCUUUCGAGAGUUUAGUUGUGAGAUUUAUAAGUUUUGGAUGGUGGGUUUUGUAAAGCGUUCUUUAUGGAUUUCGAACUUCGUAUCUGGUAUUGAUUUGUUUUGAUAUAUAUAUUAUAUAUAUAUAUAUAUAUUUGAGUAUGAUGGUUUUGAGAUGCAUGGGAUUUCUUGCAUGGUUUUCUAAACGGUGGGGUUAUAUUACGUUGGUUUACACUGAACUGAAUUUAUUUUUGUCCACUCACAAUUUUCUAUUUUGCGCCCCCCAGCCAGUAGUUGACUGAGCUCCGCAGCAGAGCCGGAUCAUGAGCUUCCGAGCCUUGAGUCUUCGUAGGACUCUUUCUUCAUGUUUUUCCCUUUGAACUCUGUCUUAUUGAAAUUGAAGUUCUUAGCCAUGCUCUGUUAUCGCCCCUGUUAGGGUUUGAUUUGUGAGGCCGGAGGCCAUUUGGUUGUAAACUGUUUAUUCGCUUUAAAGCAUGCUGCUGGUUGGGAUUAUUCUAUGUUUAUGCAGGUUGAAUUUUUGUUGGGUUUGUUCAAUUCACAGGGGAGACUUUGCCAAAAUUUUGGUAGAGAGUAUGGGUUUUUAGUAAGUGGACCCGGCAUCGGGAUGAUGUCGGAACAAAGACGAGAUUCGCCCUUGUUUCCGGGAAUUACGUAUAUAAUACAACUUCAAUAUUUAUAUGUAUAUUAUUUCAUUAAAUAUUUAUAUAUACAUAUGUUCUUUUGAAUAAAAGGGGUUAAAUUAUAUAUUUGUCCAUUAUUUCUUGAGAUGCCAUUAGAUGGUUAUUGGAUGCUUUCUAUACAUAUAUAUUAAUAACAUGGAUUAAGAGUUUAGACGUGGCAUCCUUACAUUGUUUUCUUGGAGAGAAAGACUAUUUCUCUCUUAUCUUAAUUAGGAUGCCGGAUGUGGCUUUUUCCAUUAAAUUAGUUGAUGCAUUACCAUCGCUAACUUACGCACGUUGUUAAUAACGUGUUGUCAUAGUAUAUUUUUAUUAUAGUGGUCACAGCCUUUGGAAAUAAAUCUCCUAGCGUUGACACAUAGCAACUUAUAAAAUAGAGUGGCAACCAAGUUAUCUUUUCGUAUAAAUAAGAUAAUGUCCUUUGUUAUUAUCCUCUCCAUUGUUACGCCAUCUCACCACCAAUAAAUAGAAGUUUUAAUGGAAGGAAGAGAUAUCAGGCAAAGGGUAAAGAGAGAGAGAGAGAGAGAGAGAUGAUGAUGAUGAAAUUCUUAGAAGAGAUAUAGGAUUUAGCUUGUAUUUUCUUAACUUGGAGAGAGAUGAUGAUGAAAUUCUUAGAAGAGAUAUAGGACUUAGCUUGUAUUUUCUUAACUUGGAGAAAUGCUUUGGAAUCGAGGUAGGAGUUUCUUGGUGACCUUUUAUAAAGAUUGAUCAAAUUAAAUUUCGUGAGCAUUAUAUCAUGCAUGAUAUUAUUAUUCGAUUAUUAUUGAUAUUGGGUGUUUAAGUGUUGUUAAUUAUCAUAUUAUUUUAUUAAUAUUGACAUGAUCAUAUGUUAUCGGUGAUGGCUAGAAUUCUUGGGUUGAUAAAGAAAGUAUGGAAAAGGGGGUAAUGGGAAGGAUCUUUUGUGUAGUUGAGUCUAACUCUUGAUAAGUACCAGGUCUCAGGGAUCCCGCAGCGCAUAUGGUUUUUAUUGGGUGAUUCAGGACUGGCGACAGGGAGUUAGACAAGAUGACUAACGAAAGGGGAAUUAUGGGAUGAUUGAAAUGGGUGUUAGUUCAUACAAAUGGGCAUUCGGGACCAAGUGGUAUAAGCAUGGUAUGGGACGUGCAAAUCUGCUUGUCCAGUUAUAUGAAUUAACAGGAGUAGAUGAAGAGCAUUCAUUCAUGCAUUAUUAUUAAUAAUGUGAUAUUUGGCUGUGUGAUUGCAUGUCACUUAAUUUAGAUAUAUCAAUCUACUGCGGUAAGGUCUCAUGUCCCUACUGAGCGGUGGUUGUUCAUUCCUCACCCUGUUUAAUUUUUCAGAUGAAUUAGUAGGCAAGACAAAGACUAAACCAGUUGAGGCUAAAUUAGAUGAGAGUGAUAGAGCUUUAUUUUUUUAAUUUUAAAGUUGUAAGAUUUUGGGAGCUAUUUUUAUAAGAAAAGUUUAUUUUAUGUUUCAACUUCCUGUUAUUCUAUUUUACUUUUUAUUUUCUCAUGCACUGGGCACGAGGUUUCCACUAACCCCCAGGUCCGAGGCGUGACAGAAUGGUAUAAGAGCUUUAGGGAUUAAAUACCCUUGGGAACUGUGGUAUAGUAUUACCACAAAGUAAAUUUGAAUUGGUGAAGUAAGUUAGUGACCUAACUUUUCAGGAGCAUAUUUCUUUUUAUGAUUAAGUGUAGUUUACGGAAUAAUUGUUUAGUAUUGUUUUAUAUAUGUUGGUUUAAUUUGGUAGAAAUAUUUGGUAAAGGUUCAAUUGUUAAGAUAGCUAGAGUAGAUGGGAAACGUGACAAUGAUAAGAAUGGUAGCAUGAGGGUAAUACUAACCAUUCAGGAUAUGGCCUUUGCAAUACGUGAAACAAAUCAACAAAACCAAGAACCCCAUCAAGAGAUUCAAGGUUGUCAAACAAUGAGUGUUAAAGGAGAAAGAUAAAUGAACAAAGAGUUCUAGGAAAUCUGAAAGUGGCUAUUGCUUCUACCUAUUUGGGAGGAGCAAGGAGACUAGAAUAACUCACUCAAGGACAUGUGUAUGCUAUUGGACAAGUGACAAAGCAAAAUGAACCUACUAUGGUAGAAGGUACAUUUCUAGUUUACAACUCAUGGGCUAAGAUAUUGUUUGACCCCGGUGCUACAAAUUCAUUCAUCUCUAUUUCGUUUGCGUUUAUUCUUGGAUUAGAAUAUGAAUUUAUGAAAUCUUCAUUAAUGGUUGGAUCUCCAUUGGGUAAAUGUGUCGAAGUUAAUAAGGUGUGUAGAUCUUGCAUAAUAGAGAUAUCAUAUCAUAAACUUGUUGUUGACCUAAUGAUAUUGGAAUUAAUGGAGUAUGAUGUAAUAUUAGGGAUGGACUUGACCCAAUUUAAAGCUAUUUUUUAUUGUGGUAGAAAGAUGGUGACUAUGACUCUUAGCGAGGGAAAACAUGUAGUUUCUAUGGAAGUAGGAAUACUCACAUCAAUCUUGGAUAAUGGAAAUUGUAAUUAUUUGAGAUUGAUUGCUUACAUGGUCACUGAGGAUCUAAGUAAUACCAAGCUUGAGCUUAUCCAAAUAGUGAAAGAUUUCGGUGAUGUUUUCCCAGAAGAAUUAUAUGGAAUCCCCCUAGAAAUGGAGUUUUUCUAUAGAUAUUUAUCCUGGCAUGUCGCCUAUAUCUAUACCUCCACAUUGAAUGGCACCAAUAGAGUUGAAGGAACUCAAAACACAACUUCAAGAACUUGAAAGUAAAGGUUUUAUUCGUCCUAGUACCUUACCAUGGAGGUUUUUUCUCCAUUCUUUGUGAAGAAAAGUGAUGGAAGUUGUAACACCCCGACCUCAAAUUUAACCCUUAUUUAAGUAUUUAAUUAUUUAAGGGCAUUUUGGUCAUAUUUUUAACCGGAGAGAGUUUGGGGCAGUGACUAUGUCACAUCUCGGGAUCAACUCCGUCGUAGCACGAUAUUGUCCGCUUUGGGCCCCCCCUCUCUGGCCCUCACGGUUUUGUUUCUGGGAGCUCACGAGCAACUUCCCAGUGGGUCACCCAUCCUGGGAUUGCUCUGGCCCCAACUCGCUUAACUUUGAAGUUCUUACGACUUCGAAGCCAGUGAGCUCCCAAAAGGCCUCGUGCUAGAUGGAUGCGGGUGUGCAUAUAUAAGGCACAUCGCCCCCUCUCCGUUGGUUGAUGUGGGAUCUUACAAUCCACCCCCCUCAAGGGCCCGACGUCCUCGUCGGCACACUCACACCACACGGCAGAGUGGCUCUGAUACCAAAUUGUCACAUCCCGGAAUCAACUCCGUCGUAGCACGAUAUUGUCCGCUUUGGGCCCCCCCUCUCUGGCCCUCACGGUUUUGUUUCUGGGAGCUCACGAGCAACUUCCCAUUGGAUCACCCAUCCUGGGAUUGCUCUGGCCCCCAACUCACUUAACUUCGAAGUUCCUACGACUCCGAAGCCAGUGAACUCCCAAAAGGCCUCGUGCUAGAUGGAUGCGGGUGUGCACAUAUAAGGCACAUCGCCCCCUCUCCGUUGGUUGAUGUGGGAUCUUACAGACUAGUAUUUUUGGAUAGGUCGUACUGAGACGAGUUCAUAGACAUGUAGUGGGCUCGAAUCGGAGUUGUAACGAGAGAGAUAUGGUCAAAAGAAGCCCAGUGGCACAAUCGUAAAUAUUUCGAAAUAGGAUUUUUUUUAUAAAAACUCAGAUUUUCUCUCUCUCUCUCUCUCUCUCUCUCUCUCUCUCUCUCUCUCUCUCUCUCUCCCGCGGGUCUCUCUCUCCUCUCUCACGCGCGCGACGGCAGCUGGCCACGUUUUGGCCGGCCGUGCUCUCCUCCGACCACCAAUGACGACGGGACCGGUACCAAAAUGACCGGGCCGUCGUCCUCUCGAGCUGCUCUAGCUGAUGGUUGGGUAGGAUUAGAUCGAUUCUUAGCGUAGACAAUUCGAUUUUCGAAUUGAAAUUCGGCCGGUUUUGGGAUCGUGAUUCCGGCCACUUCCGGUCAGUUUUUGGGGUAGGUCCAAGAACAAAAGUGGCUCCAAAUAGGGUGUUAUACCUAGGGUAGGAGUUUGGAGCCGUCGUUUUGAGAUUUUCCGGCGAAGCGUUAUCGCUUUGGGCACCCACGGGCUGCCGGAGCGUGCGGCGGCGCGUGGGCACUGUAGAAAAAGUAGCAUGUGUUCCGAUGAGAUCCUUAGGUUGUCACGAGUGCGUAGGAUUUCGCGGAUCUCAAUUCGGACGUCGUUUGACUAUCGAACGGAUAUUCGCAUAUUGCGCGUUAUCCAGGUGCGAUAGGUUGGGGCCGUUGGAUGGACCCAAAUUUAAUAUAUGUUGAUCUAGGUAUUUCUAGGAUCGUGUAGGAAUUCACGGAUUGUGAAUCGGAGCCCCGAAUGUUCCGAAAAAUAAUUUUAAAGUUUUUAUUUUAUAUUAACCGUCAGAUCGUGCGAUCGUGAGCGAUCCGACCGUCCGAUCUGAAUCAAACUUGCAGGACAAGAGUCCUAUACCUGGUAGAACCCAUAGGGACUCUCGGAUCGGAAAUUGGAGGUCGUGGGUUCCGCAGGUCCUUUUGACCAGGGUUAUAGUAGUUUGACCCUUGGUUGACCGUGAGUCUCCCGGAGUAAUCUCACCUUUCUAGGGGAGAUUAUCGGGUACUAGAUUAUUGUGGAGGGUUACACAAUAUUAGAAUUAAUUUAUAUAUUUAUAAUUAUAAUAUGUUUGUACAAGAGUACAAAAGAGUCUAGACUGUCAGUUUGGAGUGCUAUACGCACUACUUUAGGUACCUUCCCGAAUUUUGGAUUCACUACAAGCACCACCAAGUGAAAGUUAGGUCUCACAUGGCGUAGGUUAUCCGGCGUUGAGACAGGCCCCAUACGUGGCGUUGGUUGUACCGGCAUAUGGGGAGAUAUUGUGAUAUUGUGUUGAGGUCGCACGUGGCGUAGGUUAUCCGGCGUGUCGACAGACCCCAUACGUGGCGUUGGUUGUACCGGCGUAUGGGGAGAUUUUUGAUAUGAUAUUGAGGUCCCGCGUGGCGUAGGUUAACCGGCGUUGGGACAUGCCCCAUACGUGGCGUUGGUUGUACCGGCGUAUGGGGAGAGAUGUGAUAUGAUGUGCAGGUCUCGCGUGACGUAGGUUAUCCGGCGUUGUGACAGAUCCCAUACGUGGCGUUGGUUGUACCGGCGUAUGGGGAGAUAUUAUGAUAGUAUGGCAUGGUCGCACGUGGCGUAGGUUAUCCGGCGUGUUGACAGGCCCCAUACGUGGCGUUGGUUGUACUGGCGUAUGGGGAGAUAUUAUAUGAAAUACAAAGAAAUGAAAUAAGGUAUCGCCCAAGUGUGGAAUUGGGUUUUAUGGAAGAACUACGUGUGGCUUGAUCCCUCAAGGAGGGUACGUAGGCAGCCUAAGGUUAUUAGCUGCAGCCGCAGACUAAAUAUUAGUCAUAAUUGGUAUUUGAAUUGUUUGGUAGUUGGUUAAGAAUUAUUGGAAGGCCGAAGGCCAUUUGUGCGAAUUGCAUGAAAUUAUAUUGUGCAUGCUGCCAGUUGGGAAUAUUAAAUGUGUUUCCAUGCAGGUAUAAAUUUUGGGAAAUGUCCAAUUUAUAGGGGAGACUCUGCCGAAUUUUCGGCAGGAAGUCUCGAUUUUUAGUAUUUGGGCCUGAUAUCGGGAGGAUGUCGGGAAUUUCAAAGGGUUCGCCUCGAGUUCUGAAAAAUUCGGGGCGGGUCCUUUCAGAAGUCUUAGGAUGUGUUUUGUUGCAAGCUAACAAAGUAGUUGCAUACGACUUUUUUCAAUUGAAAUGACAUGAAAAGAAUUAUCUAACACAUGAUCUAGAAUUGGCAACCAUUGUUCACACACUGAAGAUAUGGAGAUAUUAUUUGUAUGGGGAACGUUUUGAACUCUUUUUGGAUCAUAAGAGUUUGAAGUAUUUAUUGACUUAGAAGGAGUUGAAUUUAAGACAAAAGCGAUGGAUGGAAUACCUGGAAGAUUAUGAUUUUGACUUACAUUAUCUUCCAGGAAAGGCUAAUGUGGUAACAGAUGCUUUAAGUCAAAAUCCUCAAGGAAUUGUAGCAAGUUUGUAUGAUCAAAGGUGGAAGAUGGUGGAGUCUCUUUACGAUUUUGACCUAUAUAUAGGUGCGCAUGAGGAUUGUGCAUAUCUAUGUAAUUUGGUAACUCACCCCACUUUGAUUGGAAGAAUAAUUGAGGCACAGGAUUUGGAUUCUAUGUCUGAAGACAUUCGAACUAAGAUUACAACUAGAAAGACACAGGAAGGAUGGAGUAUCCUCACAAGCAGUGGAUUAAGAUAUUUGAAUAAGUUUUAUGUACCAAAUAUUUCUGAUAUAAGAAAUGAAGUUCUCAGAGAAAGUCAUCAUUCACCUAUACAAUUCAUUCUAGAGGGACAAAGAUGUAUCGUGAUUUUAGACGUAAUUUUUGGUGGAGUAGUAUGAAGGGAGGUGUAGAAAUAUUUGCAGCAAAAUGUCUAACAUGUUAGCUGGUGAAAACUGAAUAUCAGAAACCGUCAAGUCCAUUACAGCCAUUACCAGUAGUAGAAUGGAAAUGAGAUCAUAUAACAAUGAAUUUUGUUACAGGUUUACCUAAAUAUCCAAAAGGACGUGAUGCAAUAUGGAUUAUGGUGGAUCGUUUGACCAAAUCUGCACAUUUCAUACAGUCAAAUCAAUGGAUUCCACUAAAAAUCUUGGAAAGCUUUACGUUAGAGAUAUAGUAAGAUUACAUGGAAUUCCUAUUUUGAUUGUAUCGGAUAGAGAUUCCAAGUUUACUUCUAAAAUUUGGGGAAGCUUACAGAAAGUGUUAGGUACGCAACUAAAUUUGGUACCGCCUUUUAUCCCCAAACUUAUGGACAAUUGGAGAGAACUAUUCAAAUUUUAGAGGACUUGUUGAGAGCAUGUAUUCUAGAUUUGGAGGGAAGUAGUUGGGAAGAUCAUUUAGUGGUAGUAGAGUUUGCCUACAACAACUAUCAGUCUAGCAUUCAGAUACCACCUUAUGAAGCUUUAUAUUGAAGACCUUGUCAAUCACCUGUGUGUUGGACUGAAGUAGGAGAAACUGUAUUGCUAGGACCUGGUUUGGUACAAGAGACAACUGAAGGGAUUAAAGUUAUCAAGCAACGUCUUUUAACUACUCAAAGUUGACAAAAGAACUAUGUAGACCGAAGAAGGAAAACAUUAAGUAUUGACGUGGGUGAUUAUGUAUUUCUUAAACUCUCACUACUAAGUGGAGUAAAAAAAGGUUUGGGAAGACUGGAAAAUUAUCACCAAAGUUUGUUGGACCAUUUGAAAUCUUAGAAAGGAUGGGUGAAGUAGCUUAUAAGUCAGCAUUACCACCUCAACUGUUGAAUGUACCUGAUGUUUUCCUUGUUUCUAUGCUUCGAAAGUAUGAGCCUGAUCCAACCCAUUUUCUAGAUUGAGGAGAGCUCAAUUUAGAUGAGGAACUGUCAUUUGAAGAAAGACCGACUCAGAUUUUGGAUUCUAAGGAACAAGUGUGACGUACGAAAAUAAUAUCAUUGGUCAAAAUUCUUUGGGUACAUGGGAAUACAUUGAAAGCUACAUGGGAAUUAGAAACUAAAAUGUGUAAGAAGUACCCAUAAAUUUUUCCCUUAUUCCAGUUUUUCUUUUUAAAUUUCGAGGACGAAAUUUCUUUAAGGAGAGUAGAUUGUGAGAGUCUGUUUCUUAAAUGUUCAUUAAAGAAAAAUAAAUGUUAUUAUAUAUUCUUAAGUAAUUAUCUUGCUAAGAAGGAAAUGUAUAUUUAUAAUUGUUUUACGUUUAUAAUACCAUUUCAAUAGUUAUGUGUAUAUUAUUUCAUUAAAUAUUUAUAUAUACAUAUGUUCUUUUGAAUAAAAAGGGUUAAAUUAUAUAUUUGUUCAUUAUUUCUUGGGAUGCCAUUAGAUGGUUAUUGGGUGCUUUAUAUACAUAUAUAUUAAUAACAUGGAUUAACAGUUUAGACCUGGCAUCCUUACAUUGUUUUCUUGGAGAGAAUGACUGUUUCUCUCUUAUCUUAAUUUGGAUGCUGGAUGUGGUUUUUUCCAUUAAAUUAGUUGAUGCAUUACCAUGCAUUUGGACAGCUCAUGCUUACAAUUUGGUGAAUAAGUCUAUCUUAGCUUGAGGUGGAGUUUAUAAUUUCAAUAGGUGUCACAGCCUUUGGAAAUAAAUCUCCUGGCGUUGACACAUAUAUAGCAACUUAUAAAAAAGAGUGGCGACCAAGUUAUCUUUUUGUAUAGAUAAGAUAAUGGGCUUUGUUAUUAUCCUCUCCACUGUUACCGCCAUCUCACCACCUAUAAAUAGGAGUGUUAAUGAAAGGAACAUAUAUCAUGCAACAUGAGAGAGAGAGAGAGAUAUGAUGAUGAUGAUGAAAUCCUUGGAAGAGAUUAGGACUUAACUUGUAUUUUCUUAACAUAGAGAUAUGUUUUGGAAUCGAGAUAGGAGUUUUUUGGUGACCUUUUACAAAGAUUGAUCUAAUUAAAUUUUGUGAGCACUAUAUUAUGCAUGAUAUUAUUAUUUGAUUAUUAUUGAUAUUGGGUGUUUAAGUGUUGUUAAUUAUCAUCAUAUUAUUUUAUUCAUAUUGACAUGAUCAUAUGUUAUCGGUGAUGGCUGGAAUUCUUGGGUUGAUAAAGAAAGUAAGAAAAAGGGGGUAAUGGGAAGGAUCUUUUGUGUAGUUGAGUCUAACUCUUGGCAGGUACCAGGUCUCAAGGAUCUCGCAGUGCACAUGGUUUUCAUUGGGUGAUUCGGGACUAGCGACAGAGAGUUAGACAAGAUGACUAACGAAAUGGGAAUUAUGAGAAGAUUGAAAUGGGUGUUUGUUCAUAUAAAUGGGCAUUUGGGGCCAAGUGGUAUAAGCAUGGUAUGGGACGUGCAGGUCUGCUUGUGCAGUCAUAUGAAUUAACAGGAGUAGAUGAAGAGCAUUCAUUCAUGCAUUAUUAUUAAUAAUGUGAUAUUUAGCUGUGUGAUUACAUGUCACUUAAUUUAGUUAAAUCAAUCUACUGUGGUGAGGUCUCAUGUCCCUACUGAGUGGUGGUUUCUCAUCCCUCACCCUGUUUAAUUUUUCAGAUGAAUUAGUGGGCAUGACAAGGACUAAAUCAGUUGAGGCUGAACUAGAUGAGAGUGAUAGAGCUUUAUUUUUUUUAAUUGUAAAGUUUUAAGAUUUUGGGAGCUAUUUUUAUAAGAAAAGUUUAUUUUAUGUUUCGGCUUCUUUUUAUUCUAUUUUACCUUUUAUUUUCUCAUGCACUGGGCACGGGGUUUCCACUGACCCACGGGUCCGGGGCGUGACAAGGGUUAAUCGUUUUAUUCGUUCUUGGACUUAGACCUGGUUUGCAUUUGAGUACCUCAAUUUCCAAAAUCGUUCUCAUAUUCCUUUAACUUCACUUUUGUUAGGACAAAUGGUCCAGCCAUUAAUUUUGUUAACUUUUUCUGUUAAAUGCAGGGGCAAAAUGGUAUUUUUAUAUUAAAACCAAAAGAAUAAAUAAAUAAUCACAUCUUUAAAAUAACAAUAAAAUCAAAUCAAAUAAAAAACCAACCAAAAAAAAAUCGAGUUUGGGAAGAGUAGAAAUCGGGAUAGAGGGGGAGAGAGAGAGUUUAAUUUUAAUUUUUUAUUCAUAUUUUAAUCAAUUUAAUACAAAAUGAGGAGAACUACCCCCCCUCUUCUUCUCUUUUUAUUCACUACAUGCCAUGUAAAGAGAAGAACUAAAUGAGGUUAGGUUAUUAAAAUUGGGUGAGCUAGGAUUCUAUUUUUUUUGGCUGGAAAAAAGAAGCCACCUGGGUUGCCAAACUAAAGGUACAUCCGUGGGUAAGCUAGGAUUUUAUUUUUUUUUGGCUUGAAAAAAGAAGCCACCUGGGCUAUAGCCCAGGUUUGCCAAACUAAAGGAAGGUCUGUGGGUGGGCUAGGAUUUUAUUUUUUUGGCUGGAAAAAAGAAGUAGGUUUGCCAAACUAAAGAUCCGUCUCUGUUUCCACUUCAACCCAUUUACAAUCAAACUAUUUUAUGACUAAAACACUUCACAUUAAUGAUAAUUUUAUUAAACUAAAACACAGUUUUAUGAGUCUACUUAUGGAGAAAAACUUAGUUGCAAUGAGAUAACACUAUUUUGCUAUCCUUAUUUCAUAAAAGUCUUUCUCCUACUUAUGACUAUGGUUGCAGCCUGCAAUAUUCUUAAAAUAAUAAAAAAAUAAAAAAAAUAAAAAAAGUAGCUAUUCUGAAGGACAUUACCUCACUUUUGCUGUAUAAAUACUCUGCAUUUGCAAGCACUGCAAUGCACACACAAAAGCUAAGAUGGAUUCCAGAGAAGUAGCAACUAAGCCACACGCUGUUUGCAUUCCAUUCCCUUAUCAAAGCCAUAUAAAGGCAAUGCUUAAAUUUGCAAAGCUCCUCCACCACAGAGGUUUUCAUAUAACCUUUGUUAACACAGAGUUCAAUCACAAGCGCUUUCUUAAAUCUCAAGGACCCAAUUCCCUUGUUGGCUUGCCUGAUUUUCAAUUCGAUGCCUUCCCGGAUAGCCUUCCGGAUUCAGAUGAAGAUGCCACACCAGAUGCCACCUUGCUUUGUGAAUCCAUCAGAAAAAAAAAAUUCUUGGCUCCCUUUCAUGCCCUCCUUGCAAAACUCAACAAUGAUGCCAUAUCAACAUCCCACAAUCCUCCUGUGACUUGCAUAGUUUCAGAUGGUUUCAUGUCCGCGUUCACAAUCACAGCUGCUGAAGAAAUCGGAGUCCCUAUAGCGCUGUUCUACACU
rnacentral:lncRNA from 1 species